AGAACUUUAAUUGCACAAGUUGCAUGAAUUAUGAGUCUAGUUUGCGUGUUGAGUGGAUAAUAAUAUGAGCAGUCACAUUGCUGGGUGGAUAUAAAUUUAGUGACAGUGGAGUAGGUCUAUUGUUACAUUUUAGCAUGUGCAAGUUUAUAACUACAAUCCUUUGCUCUCCUUUGGGCUUCUGCAACAGUUGUAAAAUUAUUGUCAGAACAUCCACUUGGGUCCAUACUAGACACCUAUGUGGGAUGGGUGGUGAGAAUGCCAGAUGGUAGCCUUUCUAUAUGAGCAUAAUUCUACUCUUUGGCAUGCAAUUAAGUUCCUUUCCUCAUUACGACUUGUUGGUUGUCUUUCUUUUGAAUUAUGAGAUACUGAGCUUAUGAGUAAGUGGAUCAUAUUCUGCUGCGCUAUCUAUCCAUUUCCUUCCUGGACAUGAGGGGUUAAUAAGAUUCAGUAUUGAGGCUGAUAAAAAGGUUCAUGUCGCAUACAUGGAAAGCUGGACCUGGCUCAUAGACAAUCUCUAAUAGUCCAUUUUAUUGUGUUAAUUUCAUGCCUGCCUCUAAAUGUAGCAUAUAUUUCUAAAGCAGAAGGCAGAUUAGUUUUCCUCCCCUCCUCCCCCUCUUCAUUACAGAUUUCUGAACAUGAUCAUUUUGGCAAUUUUCAAAUGAAAUAUUUAAUAUCUGAAACAUUAAACCCUUGUUUUUUCUCUUUUUGUUUUUUUUUUUUGUUUUUGUCUUUUUUGGUUUCAAAUGGUGAAUUGUGUCAGCUUGGUCGGUGGAGGUGGCAGAACGUACUGCUUCCUUAGUUGCAAGCUGGCAGGGGGUUGGUUUCACCCAUGGUGUGUUGAACACUGACAACAUGAGUGUGUUGGGUCUCACCAUCGACUAUGGUCCAUUUGGAUUUUUGGAUGCUUUUGAUCCCAGUUACACUCCAAAUACCACAGAUCUUCCAGGUCGAAGAUACUGUUUUGCAAAUCAACCUGAUAUUGGUUUAUGGAAUAUAGCUCAGUUCACAUCAACCCUAAUGUCUGCUGAGUUGAUAAAUGAUAAGGAGGCAAACUAUGCCAUGGAAAGGUAUUUGUGACUUGUCAACUUUUAUUUCUGACUUAAAAGUUUGAUUAGUUGGUUUUUUUAAUAAACCUUUCUUCCUGACAGAAAAGUCUCAAUAGUUGGUUUUUAAUUAAUGGUUUUAUGCCCUUGUCUUAUUACAGAUAUGGAACCAAAUUUAUGGAUGAGUAUCAAGCUAUAAUGACCAGAAAACUUGGCCUGCCAAAGUAUAAUAAACAGUUGAUCAGCAAACUUCUUAACAAUAUGGCUGUUGAUAAAGUCGAUUAUACAAAUUUCUUUCGCUUGCUUUCCAACAUUAAAGCUGAUCCAACGAUUCCACAAGACGAGUUGUUAACUCCACUGAAAGCUGUUCUGUUAGACAUCGGCAAGGAACGCAAGGAGUCUUGGAUUAGCUGGGUGCAAUCCUACAUUCAGGAGGUACUCAUUACUAUGCUCUUUGCUGUGUGAUGAUCACUCGCUGACAAUCCCUUUCCAAUGGGAAGGGAACUGGCUUUCUCUCAUGCUCCUACUGUUUGAUAUGGUGGAAAAAAAUAGAAGAAGAUUUGAAAUGUGACAAUCACUCAACCUCAGUUAAUCAUAAGAUUCUAAAUUCUCUCCUCUACUCUAUCUUCUUCACAGCUCACUCUGCAUUGCCUGUAUAAUCUUAUUCUGCACAUUUUUUCUUCAUAGUGCACUUGGUUCUUAAUGAAUAAUGAUGCAUUCAUUCACAUUGGUAUGCUCUUUGUUAAUUUCAUUCUGUUGAAACAAGCAGAAGGAAACGGUAUCAUUUUCUUCACAACCUCAAUUAUGUCUGACAAUCUCCUUUCUUUUUCUGCAGUUGGCUGCUAGUGGAAUUUCAGAUGAGGAGAGGAAGGCCUCGAUGAAUUCUGUUAAUCCCAAAUACGUUCUCAGGAACUAUCUAUGCCAAAGUGCCAUAGAUGCGGCUGAACAAGGUGAUUUUGGAGUGGUUCGCAGGAUACUGAAAAUUAUGGAACGCCCAUAUGACGAGCAACCAGGAAUGGAGAAAUACGCCCGGUUGCCCCCAGCUUGGGCUUAUCGGCCAGGUGUGUGCAUGCUUUCCUGUUCUUCAUGAACUGCUCGCUACAAUUACACAAAUACCAAAAACAAAAAAAAAAGGAAAAAAGGAAUGUAGGUUGCUGUAUAUAACAGUUAAAUCGAAGGUUUUUUCUCAUGUAAUAAACCGCAGUUGUAUACAUUCCACUGUCUUCUUUAUUCAGUGAAUGCAUUUUGUGUAAUACAGUUGGAAGCAGAUACAUAUGCUCUCUUUUAAGUUAAUUAUUUUGAUGCCGGAUUGUAACCGGCAAGGCUUUCGCUUCUUCCCUUUUUAUCAUCAUUUCCGAUCUGACCCGGGAAAUUCAAGAAUUUCAGAUUCUAACCCCUUUGAAUUCUGCAAUGCUCACAUGAUAAUGGAUUCCAGAGAAAUAUAUGUGAUUGGUUUUCAGGAUUUGCUCCGAGGAAAACUCAGGUUGUAUGUAUGAUAGUUUUUUUUUGUCCUAAAAGAACAAGAUAUCACUCGAGAACAUUCUUUUUGGACCCCUGGUUAGAGCAUGAGAACCCACGAAUGGUUCAAAGACAAGGGGAGAGGGAGGGAGGGAGGGAAUCCUUCACCCAGUUCCAUUAUUUUCUAAGGUAAUUUAAGGCCUCCUUAUUAGAGCAUUUUAAAUACUAAAAACAAUAUUUUGGAAAGAUUUCAAAGUAUUCUUCAAUAAUUGGAAAGAAUAAAUUUUUAAAAAAUUAUUUUCUAUAAAAAACUUGCCAAAUAUAUUUAUGUUACAAUUUAUUCAGUUUUAAAAAAUUGUUUCUAAGAAUAUUUUUCAAAUAUAUCUUAUUGAUUUUGUAAGAAAUAAUGAAGCCAAACUGUUUUUUCUUUCUAAAAAAAUUGAUAAUAUUGAUAAAUUAUUUUUGAAAAUACGUUUUAAAGAUGAUUUUUUUUUUUUAUAGAAAAGAUGUUAAAUUAUAAUUUUAUUAUAUUGGAAAAAAAUACAACCACUUUAAACAUUAACAAGCUCGGUGGUUAAAGAAAAUGAAAAUUAUUAUUAUUUUUUUCACAAUUUUUCUUAUUUUCAACAAUGAAAGUUAAACAUGAAAAAUAAUUGUAUUUAGAACUUUCAAGAACAAUAAUUUCAAAGAAAAAAUAUUUUAUUAUUUAUCAUUUUAAUUUUAAAAACAGGAACAUAAAUUAGAAAAUGUUUUCAUUUUUAUACCAAUCUGCCAAACAGGCCCUCGAGAACAUCCGAUAUAACGGGGACUUUUCAUUUUCACCAGAAUAUAAGUACAAGCAAUUCACCAGAGUCUCUCUUGAAGGCCCCAAAGGCCUCUGUCUCUCUGAAUCUUGCAAUUGGAGGCCUUCCUUUCCUGGUAACCUUUUGCUCAACCCCCACCUUUUUUUUUUAGUGAUUUUGGUUAUCUGCUAGAAUUGUUGCCCAUGAUUAAUAUGUAUCUGUGGACUCAUGAUCUCUCUUCUUUGGUCAUUCUCUUUGAUUAUGCGAAUACCCACUUGGGGUAUUCACGAAAUAAGCUGUUUUGGGUUGUGUGAUCAAUGUGGUGGAGUUGAAAGGAGUGUUUUUUUAGGGUGUUUGAUGAAAUGUCUCUAUGAGUUCUCUGGAAUGUUAAUGCACAAAACUUUGGUUUAAUAUUUUUUAAUCUUUGUUUAGCGUUUGAUUGCCAAGACAGUAGAGGAAAAGAAAAAGAAAAUGGAAUCUGAAGCAUGUCAUCUCAUGCCCUGUUCAAUUUGAUUCUCCUCUUUGAUUCCACAACACCCAUUUUUCUUUUAAAAUUAUCACAAAAAUACUAAGCCAAUUUCUUGAUUGUGUGGUCAAUGUGAGGGUGUUAACUUGGUGUUUGAUGACACGUUUCUGUGAGUUUUAUGCGAAUAUAAUGUGCGCAUUUUGGGUUUAGGUUUCCGCUUGUUGUUUGUUCGCGAAGAAAGUGUCAUAGAAGGGAAAAAAAAGAAAGAAAUUUGGACCCCAUGCAUGAUUUUUUUUUUCUUUUUUUUGAUAAGUUGGAACCCAUGCAUAAAUUUGGGAACCCACCUUAGGUUUUUGCUUUCCCUUUUUGAGGAUAAGCUGGGUACACAUAGCCUUACAUUUCCCUACACCUUCAAGAACUGAGGGUGGUGCAUGAAUCGGAAACAGCACUGCUUUUGCUAGGGUGGUGUCCAGGUUGCAGUUUGGUGGUGUGUGUUUUAACCUAAUAUAUUAUCUCAUUUUGCCCAUAAAAAAUGGUGUUUUAACCUUUUUCUCUAUGUGAACUGAGAAAAAAAACAAAGAAAGACAAAUACAAGGAAGAAAAAAAAAAGGAGAGUAGGAAGAAUAUAAAAAGGAGAAUAGACAGGAAAGCUCUUGUCGUAUCACAUUUCCAUGUGUUGAUGCUUUCAAGCUGUUUGUUCUGUUCCAAUAAUACCCAUUGUAUCUCUUCAUUCCCCUAGAUUCAGCAUCUUCAUUACUGAUUCUUUCACAACCUGAUCAGUUAACCUUGUUUUAAUAGGAAACCAUACUAAAGUACACUAAAGAGAGUUCAACCUGAAUAUGUGCAGACCAUAUGAGUUACACCCAAAAGAAAAAGAAGAAAGAAGGAAAAAACAGCACUUUCAACCCAAGAACAAUCCCUAUAAUCAGUGAAUUCUGAAAAAGAGUUUCUCCUAAUAGUAGUAGAUAUGAUUGGCUCCACAUAAUGAUUACAGAGAAUCUCUUUCGAGGUCCAACACAGUUGUUCCACCCUCUCAAAAGUUACAUUUUGCUUCAUUAUGCUCUCUGAAUAUCCAUGCCAUACAAAGGGGGUUGUACUCUACAUCUUGCUCCUUCACUUCAUGAUCAAACUUUCCAUGCUAGUCCAAUCACACUUCGUGCAUGAUCCUUGGAAGAACCAAAGGACUCCAGGAAAAGCCUAAAAAUCAUUGAACAAAGGUCUUGGGACUUUGGAAUGCACCAAAACAUAAGCGAUUGUCUUUUUUUUUUCCUUCAUUUGCAACACCAAUUACGGAGGUCUCUCCCUCUUUCACAAGCUGAUCAGCGCUCAAAAUCCCCUGCCAAGCUGAUACGCAAAGAAGGAUGCUGCCUUCAAAGAAGCUAGAGAGCCCUACAACUAUUUCUUUAGAGACGCUUUUCUUUCUCCAUCAAAACCUUGAAGAUUGAUAAUUAAGAAUCUUCGAUCUUUAGUUGGCUUCCAUCCAAUUGCACCCACCCUUCCCUGAUCAAUGUCCACCUUGUACAUAUGGUCUAAAAAGGAGUCAUCCACUUAUAGUUCCCAACCAAGCUACCGAUAAUUAGUUGUGAAAUAGUUUUUUUCCCCUCUACUUUCCUGCUUUCCAAUUUAUUUAUUCUUUUGCUUUGGCAUAUUAUUCUUUCCUUUGUAACAAAAGAAUCUAAUGUAAUGCUUGGUUGCUUUUGUUCUUGUUAAAACUGCAACAUAAGCCGGUGAAGCUAGCUUACAAGUCAACCUAAGCUGGGUGGGUCAAGUUUGUUACCAGUCAUUGCAAGCCCAAUCCAACAUUUAAUCUCCCCUUCUAGAGGGCCCAGCAGACUCUUACCUCGAUGCAAGGUGCCCAACUUGGGCUGAAUUCUUUGAGCUUAGAUUCGGCUUAGGUUUGUCAGAUUGAAUUUGUGUUAUAGUAACAUUGGUCGAGUUUGGUUUCCUUACACGUUUUCUGAGGGUCUUGUGCCCUACUUAAUUUGAUGUCAAGUUAAUGCUUUCUGAUCUAAAGAAUAAAAGAAAUGCUGAGGUUGAUGGCUUGGGUUGGGACGUUGAGUGCAACAAACUUGUUGUAGUUCAAACUUGUUUACAUUUUACAUUUAUUAGAAUUUGAAAUUUUCUGUUUAUCAUAUUUGAACUAUUUUGGCAUAUAACCUAGUCGAAUGUUUGCUAAAAGUUACAAGUGUAGGUUUGCCUAUGUGUCUUCUUAGUUUUUGUUGGAAAUCUUCAAAACUUGUAUCUGUAGUGAGAGCCAUGUGAUAAUAGAACAAUUGUGUAAACUAAGAGAUGGUAUCACACUUGAUGGGUGUUCUUGAACAAAACUACAAAAUGUCUUAGCAUGGUUUGGUGAAAGUGUUAAAAGUGCGAGGUUGAGAGAUGUUGGAUGUUCCUAUAUUUCAUUGCUUGACCGUUUGGCCCCUAUACAUGAGACCAGAGGGUUUUGGAAUUACUUUGCAAAUCUAAUUGAUGGAUACCAAAGAAAGGUAGAAGGACCAAUACUUUGAUAUUUUAUUGUUUCCUCUUGAUCUCCUCCCACCAGUGUCUUAUCUCCUAGAUGUCCACUUUGUGUAAUUACUGUCCUCUCCCAUAUUUUCAUUGAGUUGGGCAGGCUUAUUAAGGACAAAGUAGUAUAGCUCAUAAUUUCAUAUUAUUAUUAACCGCCACCACUCCACUUGAUUAUGAUGCCACAAUAAAAAUUAGAAUACUAACUUACUAAAUAAUAGGCUCUAUUAAUGAUUCUAUCCUUAAUGGAAUUAAAUGUGACAAUAUUCUAUGUUUUUUUAGUAGGCAAAGGAAAUAUAUUAAAAAACACCUAACAAAAACAGGGGCAUAGCCCAAGGACAAGGACAGUAUGUACACGUUGUGCAUCGGUGAGAAAGAAAAAAGACCAAGAAAUAAAGAAUGGGGCUGCUCACCAAACCAUGACCCAAGCCUUCAAUGAAAUCCGAGAUAGACAAUAAAUUCCAUGGUUUGCAUCCCACAUGCAUAGCCCAUGAAUCCUUCGACUAGAUAAUUAGUAGUAUUCAGUGUGGAUACCCUUGAAAGAGAUUAUGGCUUGACUUAAUUACUCAUAUUAGGGGUGGACACCUGUGAAAGAUAAAAUUAGGUGUCCAUAACCUAGUAUGUUUGACUUGCAUAACAGCAUAGAAUGUGAAAAUCGGAGGAAGACGCCGGAGGGAGAGAAGGUUGUAUUGAUUUAACCAAUAAUAUCAAUUUAAUUAAUAAUAUUGUUUCUAAUGGUAUAGAUAAUUAAUUCCUAUAAACAAAAAAGGCAAAGAUAAUUAAUAGAUUAUGAAUAUGUAGGGGGGCACCAAGGAGAGGAAAAAUGAGUUAUUAAUUAGCAUAGCCUUAUAGUAGCAUAAAUAACUAAUAGUAUAGGCUUAAUAAUAUAGACUUCAUAAAAAGACUUUACAGAGAGAAGUGAGACAUUAUUUUAAUUAAUAGUAUAGACUUUUUUAAUUGCAUAGGUGAUUAAGAUACUAGAGAAUGGACACCCAUAGUGAACACAGAUGGGAGAAAAUGAUGUAAUGGAUUAUUGUACAGAAUUAAGCUAAAUAAUUAAAAGUAUAGAGUAUGGAUUCCAAAGGAGAAAAGGAGAAAAAAGAAGGUAUUAAUUGGCUUAGUUAAUGGUAUAGACUUAAUUGAAGGAGAGGGGGUGAUUGCAUGAGAAACCUUUCCAUGCCUGCACAGUAUCAAAUCAUCAUGUAGACAUGCUACACUGUUCAUUCAUGUAUGCCAUCUCACCACAAGGUAGGUGGCUGGAAAAAAAAAAAAAAGGGGUCAGCUCUUUCCUUUAAGUAAAAAAAAGAAUUUCCCUAUAAUGGCUAAAAUUUCCCUUAACAGCUAAAACUCUCAAAAGUGGGAUGAUUUCCCCUCUAUACCAUUCCUUGCCACUCUUUGAUGAAGCCUCUUUGGCAAACCCUCUCCAACAAAACAUCUUUUAUAGUUUUUGAUACAACAUUCUGAACAAACAAGUAUAUUUUAAUUUACAUUUAAUUUGUGGGUUUAACCAUCAUCAGGGAAACACGUUGCCAAAGAAGAUUUUGUUAAGAUGCUUCAUUGAAGGGGUUCUGAAGUAUGGUCAAUAGACAAUUAUGUGGAUUUUAGAAUGCUACCUUUUUAGGGAAAUUUUUGGCUGUUAAGCUAAUAUUUUAGUUCUCCUUAAAUGAAAAAAAUUACCAACUUUAUUUUGGUUGGCUAAUUACCUUGUGGUGAGAUGAGACAACAUAAAUGGACUGUGGUACUACAAUUACAUAAUACUAUGGAUCUCCAAAUACUCUCUCUAAUUGCACUACAUUAAACAUGAAGGAGUGAGGAAAUAAGGUAUUUACUUAGUUAGUGCCAUAUAUUUUACUUUUUUUUUCCUCAGCAAAUUUAACAAUAUUAACAAAAGCAUAUCACAAAGGUGGAUGCCAAUGUGAAAGAAUGAGGUAUUGGUUUGCAUGAGUAACAUGUAAUUUACUAUUUUAUCCUUUAUAAGCUCGACCACCCUUGUGGGAACAUGUAAAUGAGUCACAUUUUUGGGCUUGCUUGAUAAUAAUUUACUAUUUUGUUCUUUUUAAACUUGACUAUGCCUGUGGGGACAUGAACAUGAGUUUCACAUUGUUUAGCUUAAUUAAUAAAAUAGAUUUACUAUUUAGUCCUUGAUAAGCCUAACCACUAGUGUGUGAGAUCCUGAGAGAGAAGUAAUUUCACAAAAGUGGAUUCAAGGAGAGAAACACACUAAGGGUAACACUAAAAAUAGGAUAUUUACUUAAUUAAGGUAUAGAUGAUGCAAUUUGAUAAAAAAAAUACUAACUUUUUUGUCAUGAUCAACAGGAAAUGAGAAUUCCUUGAAGUUAAACGAUACUUAAUUUUUUAUGUCAUGAUUUACAGGGAAUGAGAGUUCCUCGAAGUCUUGAGGUUUGGAAGAUGGGCACUGUCAAUUACUUGGAUGCACUUAAGUUGCAGGAUAAGCUUAUCUCCCGUAGAAAAACUCAUAAGAUUUCAGAUACCGUCUUAUCACUACAACAUCCACCUACAUAUACGCUGGGGAAACGGCGCACUGAUCACAAUUUGCUAGUCCCUGAGUCUGACCUUAAAACUAUAGGAGCUGAACUGCACUACACACAAAGAGGAGGAGACAUUACAUUUCAUGGUCCACAUCAAGCCAUCUUAUAUCCUAUUAUUUCUCUCAGAGAUAUUGGACUUGGUGCAAGGAAUUAUGUUGAAAAACUUGAGUUAACUAUGAUUGAAUUGGCGUCUCUAUAUGGUGUGAAGGCUCGUGCUGGGGGAGUAGGUGAGACAGGAGUUUGGGUUGGAGAGAGAAAAAUUGGUGCAAUCGGGGUUCGGAUUUCAUCUGGGAUUACCUCUCAUGGGUUGGCAUUUAACAUUGAUCCUGAUCUAAACUAUUUUAAGCAUAUUGUGCCUUGUGGGAUUGCUGAUAAAGAAGUUACAUCUCUUAGAAGGGAGACAGAUUUGGUUCUUCCUACUGAAGAAGUGAUCCAUGAGCAGUUGAUUUCUUGUUUUGCGAGAUUGUUUUGUUUUAGUGACCUUAUUUGGAAAGAGGAUGCUCCAAUAUUGCCAGAUAAUGGGGAAGCUGAAUGAUAUUUUUCUGUUGUAUGCCAAAAAACUGUGUAAUUGUUUUACAGCCUAAAUUUUGUAAUUUAUUCAUUUUUUGUGAUUCCAAUUUUUCAGUUGGCAAUAAGAGCAGUGGAGUAAAAGUUGUUGAGUUUGUGUGAGAAGGAAGUUCACUAGUUUUACCAGGAACAGAAUCUUAACCAUAAACUUAGGGAAUAGUCUUUCAUGUUUUUCUCUUUUUUCCCCAGUUAUAUUCCCACAUAGUCCGCAGGUUUUAAACAGGGAGCAAGAUGAACAGGUUUAGGAAAAGGUCUAAUUUAGCAACCUCAACUACAAACCUAGCCUUUUUGCAAAAUUACUGAUGGUAUCUCUCUUGAGGCAUUUUAAUAGCUUCACUACCAUCUGGCUAAAGAUUGGACCUUCAAAUCAUGUCAGCACUUCCCUCAGUCAACACCAUCUGAUUUUCAUUCGAAUGAGUUGGAGGUCAGCAGUCGUAUUAUGCUUUCAUCCUCACCCCAAUGCCAUAAACCAAUGUUUUCCCCCUCAGCAGAGAAUCUUGGAUAGCCCCUCAUUUUUUAAUCCAAGAUCAUGAAGCACUCUCGAAAAUACAAUAAAAUCUUCAUUCAAAGGAGAGUCCCUUGACCUGAUAUUGUAAUAUUGUGUUGUUUUCUUCUUCAGCCUCUAUGAUGACUUUUCUUCUACUUAUGGAGAUCUGAUCUUAACAUAAACAAUAAGGAACUUCCACCACCUUCUCUAUCAAAUAGAUAGAGGAAACCCCAUUAUUUUUAGCAUGCUAUCUUUUAUAUAUUCUUUAACGAUGGGGUUUGGGGAGGUGGAUACUUCUCUUAAAAAUAUCCCCAGAUUGAUGAAAUCCAUGUUCCAUAUUCAGCCAUCUUUGGACCUUAGUAGCAAGCGGCUGCCAGGGAAAUACCUCAUUAAAGUAUAAAUCUGAAUCUGAAGAAGUCUCAUCCUUGCUGACAAGCCAGCUAAAAUGGCAGUUGAAAUGCCCGUUCAUCGUCCACACCUAGUACAAAUAGUCAUCUAGCCAACUGAAGAUACACAGUAGAAGACUAAUAGAAGCUAGCAAGGUGAAAAGUACUUAUUGGAAUCCAGUUUAAAAGUAGAGAGGAUUGUGAAUAGUGCAAGGUGAAAGUGAAACAUUUUCCUGCAAGAUGAUGGGUAAUUGUCAUGGAAAGUAGGCUUACACAGCUAAUUUUAGCUGUACUAGUACACUUAAUUGAGGCACUAAACUAAUUCGGGAUUUAAUAAACCAAAGGAGAACAGAAAGUAAGAUGACUGAUUGAGUCUCAUGUGACCGAUCCCAUAAGCCAUGUUGUUUAAUCUUUAUUGCAGAGUAGUCAGAGGAAUAUAAUAAUAACUCAGCAUCACAUGAUAAGCUCCUUCCAAGUCCACACCUAUUAUAGAAUAAAGAAAAGAAUCAGUAAAAUAUCUCAUGAGGAAAAUGGAGCUGAGAGCACAGCUGGUCUAAUUAGGCUUGUCAGUAGCCCUGGGCAAGCAUCUUAUGUGUAAAUGGAGACCUUAAAGUGCACUUUUACAGUCAUCAUGAACCAGAACUUACCUACUCCAGUCUCAUUUGUAUCAAUAGCUUUGAUGUUUUGCCGUAACCAAAUUCAAAAUAUAAACUUUGUUAGUUUUUAAGAUGAGUUUAUGGGUAACGGUUUCUUGCUCCUGUUACUUUAAACCUGCUUGGAUCUAUCCUGUUUAACCUGAGUUGUCAGUCUGGAAACACUACAGCCUCCCUGUCAGUUAUCCAUAACACUAACACUAGGUGAAACCCAAAUGCUUUAUACCACUUAUGAUAAAAGAUUAUUUUAAGCACCAAACAGGCUUCUUAGAAAAUAUAGUUUUCUCAAAUUACAUCUAUAUAUUGCAUAUAUUUUCUCAGGCUCGAGCACAAACUUUGGUAACAAGCAUGCAUUGCAAUCCUCCUUGAAAGAAGUCUUCCUGUGAAUCAGCUUGAGGCUUUCAUCUUUUAACUCUCUCUCUUUUUUUGCCUCCCAACUACACAUUGCCAUGAAAACCAGUCAUGGAGCUUUAGUUACUCUCUUUGCAUUGUUUGUCAUUCAUUUUCUCAUGUGUUCUGCACUAUCACUCCACCAUGAAAGAUAUACUCAUCCAAGGGAAAGAAGUCAAUCAAGAAGAUUGCUGGCUUCUAUUACUCCACUCUCUGCACAUCUGAACAAGUUAAAUGGAGCGACAGAAGAAUCUAAGAAAACCGUGGAGGCAUGUUUAAGGAAAGCACCCUCAAGUGCCCCAAAUCCUACCCAGAAUAAGUAACCUCGAUGUCACUUGUUUAGGGAUCUCAUCUAGAAUGAGACAUACUGUUCUCUUUCUACAUUUUUGUAGUCUUUACUUUUUCUGUUGGAUAGGUAGAGAACGGGUUCUAUGCAGAUAUUUUUGCCAGCUUCGUUUUUGUUUCACUUGCUCAGAUUUUAUUUAUUCUUUUUGCAAGUCCUUGUUUCCAUGGCAGAUUUAGGAGGAGAAGUAUGUUUAAUGGAUUGUGUAACAAGAUAAUCAGAUUUAGUAUUGGUAUCAAUCUGUUUAGGUAGUUAAAGCCAAAAAUGGGGUUUGAGGUUGAUGAUGAUGCUAGUCUUUGAGUGAUGUUCUUUUCCCAGCUUCACUUUUCCUGUAUAUAUGUCUGUAGUUUUAUUUAAUUGUAUUUUAUGGAAAAAGAUGCAAGUUGAUGAAAUAUUUACAUGAACCAUUUGCAGCAUUCUGCUUUUGUUUUUUUUCUGCAUGUGGCCUCAUAUGAGAAAUUUAGUUCUUUCAUUUCUGAAAUGGGACUGAAUCUGAUAAAAAGCGAGGUGUCUGAGUUACUUCUUCCAAACAAAAAUAAUGCUACUGUACUUGAUAAUUCUUGCUCUCUUUUUAGAUAGAAUUGAACCUUUACAACUAAAAUGAUAUGUUCUUUCUUUCUCUCCUCUCCUCUCUUUCUUCCAUCUCACAUAUUCUUUUGAGGUAUCAUCCCCAUCCCUUUUUCCACAAAUGGCAAUGUUUCCGGGUUCAGCAUUGACAAACCAUUUGUUGUUUUCUUUUGUUUUUAUCAUCACCUGAUCUAUUGCUAUUCAAACUGAAAAGCCAACAACCUCAGCUACAUUAAUGAACCUUUGUCUACCUUUAGUUUUUAGCAAAUCAACAUUGCACUAAGAGCCUGACCAGUUUCGCUUAGGACUGCUACUACAAGUGGCUCAAAGUGCAAAAUGGUUUAAGCUUUAGUAAUUUCCUCAGGCUUGACAGGACUGCUUUAUAUGCAACCCUAGCAUCUCAUACCCAGAUUUUGCAUGUGGAUCAUGUUUACUCUUGUAGCAGGGAAAUUCUAAUUGAAGCCCUUGAAAAUGUGAAAAAAUACAAUGUAAUCAUAAGUUUUCUUUUGAACACGCUCUCAACUUCAGAAUAUGUUCAUCUUGCAAAUCAUAAUGAACCCAAAAACUCUUGUUUUAUCUCUUACAGAAGCAUAUUUCCUGUUGGACAGGAUUUCAUACACGGUGAACAAUCUUAUUAGGUUGGCUUAAGAAGGAAAAAGAAAAAUGCAAACAGCAAACAACAUGCAUUACACCCUAUCUACAAAAUCAAACAAUAUCUAUUCUCCCUUUCAAAAUGAACCACAUGAACUAAGAGUUUAGGAUGACAUCUUUCAGCCUAGAGAGCUCUGCCCUUCCAAAAUUACUCUGAUUCCUCUCCUUUGAUAAACACCAAGUACACAAGGGAGCCAUCCUCCAGACUUACUUCCUUCUUCCCACAAAACUGCCUCCCCAAGAACACCAAGGCAAUCAUAAUAGACUGAGCUAGAAGCCAGGAAAUUAUGAAUGGGAAAAACAGAAACACUAAAAUAAAUGUGAUUUUCCAACUUCUGCACCUUUUUGUAUAAGCAACAUCAGUUCACCAGAAUAAAACCUCUAUUCCAUAAUUGGUCUAAGGUAAGUAUGUUUACAAAAUUGUUUCUUGCACAAAGAAACCAACAAUGGAUGUCCCACAGAAAUCCUGCACACUAACCAUGGGAAACCCUAACAAGAAUGAAGGUGAGAGCGCCACACAAUGUGAAUAACUUGAGAAGUCUUUCUAGGCUGGAUUCCAGACUUCAGUAGUCAAUUGUCUCCACAUUAACAUGCUUGGAGUAAAUGCAAGUCAAAAAGCUCCCUGCCUCUUCUAGUUCUCAAUCAUGGGACCUCCUUAUAAAACUCAGAUUCCAAUGACCAUGGCAGCACUUCUGGCACUUGCAACCCACACUUUGCUGUUAACUACUAAAGCAUAAAAGGACAAGAACCUUGACUUCAAGUUCACCUCUCCAUGUCAUAUUUUCAAGACAGAACCAAAUCCUCUGCCCAUAGUACACAAAAAGCAAAAUGAAAUUUUGAAAAACAUUGUAAUCCUUCCUGAUAGGGUCCCGCAAAACCUGUGCCAGAGAACCACCCCUAUCAUUUGAACACCCCCCUUCCAUCUCAUUAAAUUUAUCGGCCACCACCUUUCUCCAUCUCCUUCUUUAGACGUCCACAAUCGUUUAUCUAGUAAUGCUUUAUUAAAACUGUAAAGCUUCUAAUUCCUCCUUUCUAGUAGAACACACUGAAGAUCUUUUAAACCAAAUGAGAGUUUUCCUUGCUUCUGUCUUGCAAAAAUCCUCUUUGUGGCUUCUCCAACUUUAGGCAAAUCGAAGUCAGCAUCACAAAAGUGGAUCUGAAAACUGACAAGCAUAAAAGAGUUCUAUGAACCAGUGUGAGUCCACUCCCUAGAUAAAUAUUGCCUCUUGCAAGACGCUAGACUUUUUUAAAUCACUCAACCACCUGUUUGCUCACUGCAUAGGUUUAACUGGAGCACGCAAUGGCAAUUUCAGAUAAGAAGACAGAAGCUUACUUAACUCUACUUCAAAUCAGUACUGCAAGAGCCUCUGUAUCUGCAACCUCCUCUGAAGGAAUUAUCUCACUCUUAGACAGUUGAACUUAAGCUAGAGAUACCUUCGAAAUACAGGAGCAUAUGUCUAAGGUAUAACAACAAUGCAACACUCACCCCCCACAAGAACACAUCUCUGAAUCAAUCUUAGCCUUCCGAUCAUGUUUCAUGGUGAUGUUGUUUGAGAGUUUUAUGUAUUUCUAUAAAACAAUCAUCUCAUAAGAAGUUUUCAUUCCAUGAAUGAAAUCUGUCUGGAUAAAAAGGUCAUCAAAAGUCGAUGAUGUGUUUUUCAUAGUUAAGGCAUUGUCCUUUUGGUUACUUUAUGUGCACUAUAUGCUUUGUUUUUAGAAUGUUAGUUUCCUUGCCAAGUACUUCUUUUUCAAUGUGUUUUUUCUUUUAAUUGUUGGCUAGAUAUUUGUUAUUUGACUGUUACCUAACAACUUAAAGUUGUAGGUUAACUAAUAGCUUAACAUGGUAUAAGAGCUUCAUUUUUCAAAAGGUCUUGGGUUUGAACAUCAUGUUUGUUUUCAUAGUUUGCCCUUCCAUGAAUGACUUGUGGGCUGUACUUGAAGGUGUGGGCUAGGUUUAGGGGUCACAUUUUUAAGGGUAGGCAGGAAAGUGGAGAAGUAGGGGAUUGCAUGUGAGCAGGUGCAUGAGGUGGGAGGAGGGAUGUUUGCCUUUUCACAUUUGAGUUAGGGGUCGUGCAUGUGGUGGUGUAUGCUUUGGUGGUUUCUUGUUUUGUUUUGUUUUUUUUUUUUUUUUUUUUGUGCAUAUUAGGAAUGUGGGGGGUUUAUCACAAGAUAAAAUAUUGAUGGUCUAUUAUCUAAUAGUUUAAGCUUUUGAGUUACUUGGUAGCUUAACAAUUGUUAAGGUUAGAUGUGUGGAUAACAUAUAUAGCAAAUAUCUUGCAGAUUUUAUGUGUCAUGGUUAGAUGUAUAAAUAACAUAUAUGACAAGUGUCUUACAAAUUUUAGCAUCUUAAAUUUACUACCAGUGCUAAGUCUGUGCAAUUUGUGUGAGAGCUGACUCAUCCUUUGUAAUUUAUGGAAGAAAAAUGAGAACUUUACGACUUAGUUAUCAUUUAUAUUUUAUCUUCUUAAUGUACUUGUUUAUUUAUUUACUUCUCUUCUUCUCUUUUUCUUCCUUAGUUAAUUUUUAGUAUUAUAUUUUACAUUUUCAAAUUUAUUUUACUUAAUGACCAAUAACUCAUUAAAACUACUUUACUUUGAAGCUAACUUUCAAUUGAAGCAUAAUAUUUAAGUUUGAGCUAUUGAUUUAACAGUUUAAAAGAAUAGCUAUGAGGCGUGUUAGCUGACUAAAAAGCUUAGAUAUCACACGUGUGGGCAAUAUAUUGAGCAAUGUGACCUUCAAAAAGGUUGCAGACUGGUGAGAGUGAUGAUGAUAUCAUAUCUUGCUUUUAAGUUAGUUUUAGUGUUGUCCACCAUGGUUACUUUGUGCGCUUGUUAGCUAACUAAAAAGCUUAGAUAUCACACGUGUGGGCAAUAUAUUGAGCAAUGUGACCUUCAAAAAGGUUGCAGACUGGUGAGAGUGAUGAUGAUAUCAUAUCUUGCUUUUAAGUUAGUUUUAGUGUUGUCCACCAUGGUUACUUUGUGCGCUUGUUAGCUGACUAAAAAGCUUAGAUAUCGCACGUGUGGGCAAUAUAAUGGGCUCAUAAUAAGAAACCCUAGUUAGCUUUGUUUAAAACCACGUUGGUACUUACACAUAAAUAGAGGGCAAUAAUCUUUCUCAUAAAUCCCUCUCCAGAAGCAUUCCUUCCUUAAUAUCCAUUGAUACCUUUUCCUCUCUACUCCUCUUUCCCAUAAAAAAUGAAGUUUUGCAAUCAACAUCAUCCUCUUUCUUUACCUCCAUUUCCAAUUGUUGAGCAUAAGCUUUCACAACGAUCUUCUCGUUUUGGUGGCAAUUUUCGAGUAGAAGAAGAAAAUUGCCGCCUUGGAUGGUCAUGGAAUCCAUCCAAAAGAUCAUUUGAUUUAUGUACAAGGAAGAAGAAACCUCAUCUCGAGUUAAUGCAUCCAAACAAGGUGAUAAAUCUUUAUAACUAUUUUAUUUCCACACCCUCUCUUUCUUUUUUACCUUUUAGGGAUUUUAAUUUAUUGCAAUUUGAGAACUUUCUUCAUUGAUCUAUGCCAUCAUUGUCUAUUAUGAUCUAAGAGAUUUUGUUUAAGCUUAAUAAACAUGCACCUAGUUUAAUUAUCUCAUUUAACCCCGUGCUUGAUUUAGUCUUCAAUAGGGCAAUUUGGAAACAGUGAGGAGUAUUAUUCAACUUCAAGUACUACUUGCCAAAGGUAUACUUAUUUCUUGUCCUUUCAUUUCUCUUAUCAUCAUUCUAUUGAUUUACUUUUAUGGCUUCCUCAUUUGUGAUUAGCAUGUCACUAGCAUGCCUUUAGUAUGCCAUUAAUACAUAUGCAUUAUUUAUCUAUAUCUUUUCCUUUUCAAUGCAUAACCUAUAUACAAAAUUUAUGUUCACUUUAAUAUAUAGAUGUGAACUUAAAUUCUCAAUAUAUUGAGUAAAUUGUGCAAAGCUAAGCUAGUUCCUUACUUUUGGAUAUAAAAUUCAAUUCCCCUGAAUAAGGUUUUCUCUCCUAAUUAACUUCCCCUGUUUGGUGAAAUAACAGGCAUGAAAAUCAUGCAGCUCCAAGUGAGAGAAUUGUGGUUCUUGCACUGCCUGCAACAUCUUCUCCACAAUGUGAAUUACAUAUUAUUUUCAAUUAAUGUUUGUUUUAUUAUGUUUUAUAAGAUAAGCACUUUAUUUCUUUCAGACACAUUAUCAUUGGGAUUUUUAUUAACUAGCUAAAAUUCCUAUAUUGAAAUUUCAUAUUAAUUAGGUCCACACCGUAAUUUCUUAUAGAGUAUGCAUUACCCUUUUCUCUUGUAUGUUAUUUAGAAUCUGAUUGCUUGGCUAAAUCAUAUAAUAAAAAUUAACAUAGGAAAAUAGCUUUGUUGAAGAGGGGAGGGGAGAGCUUUGUUGCUUGCUAAAGUUAGAAAAACCCGAUUGUAUAAAUGUUAUGAGCAUUUUUUUAGGGAAAUAGAAAAUCCCUUUAGCUGUUUGGAAUGAAAGUUAGAAGCAUAGAUUAUUUUACUUUUUUUUUUUUUCAUGAAAUAACUCAUCUCAAACUUUUUAAUUUAAUUUACCAUUUACAUGGCUUGAUGUGAUUUAACUUUCUUAAGGUAAAAUUGUUUCUAGAUCAUCAUAAAACUUAAGCUCAUGUCAUAAGUACCAAUAUUAUGAUUGUAAGAAUUUAAGAAUAAUUUCUCACUUUUUUUUUUGUUAUAUUCAAUGCCAAAAAAUGUACGAUAUAUAUAGGCAUUUACAAAACAAAAAAAAAAAAAGAAACUAUACUCUAUCACACCUUAAAAAUAAGCACCAAUCCCUAUAAAUCAGUAGGUAUCAAAGAUUACAAAAUUAUCUCAUCUUUUAGCUCUUACAAAUCAGUAAUUAGUGGACCUAUCUAACUACUCAAAACAGGAAAAUAACAAAUCCUGACACUCCCACUCAAGCUGGUACAUAGAUAUUCACAACUACUAGUUUGCAUAAGACACUUUUGAAUAUAGCAUCAUUAACACCUUUAAUUAAUAUGUCUGCAAGUUGCCCCUUAGAAGGUACUAAUGUUAUGCAAAUUUGACUAAUGGUAAUCUUUUCCUUGGUGAAGUGUUCAUCUAUCUCCACAUGCCUAAUUUGGUCAUGAUGUACAUUAUUUUGAGUCAUGCUAAUGGCUGCAUUAUUGUCACAAUACAAUCUCAAAGGCUGCUCCACAUUGACAUGCAAUUCUUUGAUUAGAUUUUUUUAACUAUAGGAGUUCACAUACACCUUGGGCUAGAGUUCGAAACUUUGCUUCUGCACUUGACCUAACUACCACAAAUUCUUUUUUUUUUUUUUUAACUCCUUCAUGUCACCAAAUUGCCUCCAAUAAAGGUGCAAUAUCCGGUGGUUGAUCGUUGAUCUAUCAUAGAAACUGCUUAAUAUGCAUCUAUAUGGACCUUAACUUUUAAAUGAUCGUUAUUGCAAAACAUUAAACUAUGACUAGGUGUGGACUUUAAAUAUCUUAAUAUUCUUUGCACAACUUCCAAUUGACAUUCUUGUGGUAAGUGCAUAAAUUGGCUAACCAUACUAAUAGCUUAUGCUAUUUCUGGUCAUGUAUGAGACAGAUAAAUAAGUUUACCCAAUAGAUUUUGAUAUCGUUCUUUUUUAACUGGUUCUUCUUUUUCUUGUUCAAGCCUACAAUUUUGAACCAUGGGAGUGUCAACUAGUUUACAACCAAGUAUCCUAGUUUCAUUCAACAAGUCUAGGACAUACUUUCUUUGAGAGAAGAAAAUUCCCUUGGCUAAUCUUGCAACUUGGAUUCCAAGGAAAUAUCUUUACUUUCCUAGGUCUAUGAUUUCAAACUCUUUUACCAACAUGCCUUUUAAUCUCUCCCUUUCUUCAUUGUCAUCACUAGUAACUAUUAUACUAUCCACAUAACUAUUAGUGUCAUGAUUUUGUUUUCAGAUGUAUGGACAAAGAGAAUGUGAUCCCCUUAGCUUUGAAAUGAGAUAUUUGAUGCAAGUUUUAAUUCCCUUAUGGAUACUAUUGGAAAAUCAAGAUCAUUAGUAUGUGAAGUAGGAAAUGAGUUUUGAGUUGUACCUAGCUUCAAGUUAGCAAAUCAACCAUGAGAAAGAGAGAAAGAGAGAAAAAGAGAAAUAGAGAGUAUGUGAAGUAGGAAAUGAGUUUUGAGUUGUACCUAGCUUUGGGUUAGCAAAUUGACCAUGAGUAAGAGAGAGGGAGAGAGAGAGAGUCCUAUCUGCAAAAGGUGUUUUUGACUUGUGAGAUUGUUUUCUCCUUGAAUAAACACUAAAUUUUGAGUCAUCUCCUCACUUAACUUCUCUUGAUGGAAUGAGUGUGGCUAGCUCCACAUUAGCAAUGCUAACAACAUUAUUUCUUAUGAGUUGUUUGCCUUUUUCCCUAAUGUUGAUCUCACUCAUAGAAUCUCCAGCCUCUCUAACAACUAUAGGCAUAGGCAUGAAUGAUUUUCCUAAUAUUUCUCGCCUUAUAAGUCAAACUGUUAAAAGUGUGCUUGGUCCUCCUAAAAUAUAACAUCCAUAGACACAAAUUUCCUUUGAGUGGGAGGGUGAAAACACUUGUAGCCCUUUUUUUUGUUGGAUAAUAACCUAAAAAGAGGUAUUAUAUAGCUUUAGGAUCAAGUUUGGACCAAUCUUUUCUAGGAACCUGCAUAGACCACACAACUGAAGACACGCAGAGGAACAAACCCAUAAAGAUGUGUGUUAGGAAAGAACCCUUUUAUGGUAUCAAUAGGAGUUUUAGAUGAAAGAAUCUCUGAAAGCAUACGAUUAAUGGGAUAGGAAGUUGUAAGAAUUGCAUCUCCUUAGAAGUGUUUAGAAACGUUUCUAGAAAACAUUGGGGUAUAGGCAACUUCAAGAAGAUGCUUAUUUUUUCUUUUGGUUACACCAUUUUGUUGGGGUGUGUCAAUAUACGAAUUUUGAUGAAUAAUACCAUUAUCUUGAAAGUAUAACCCAAAAACAUGACCAAUGUAUUUUCAUUUUCACCCAUUAUCAGAUUGAAAACACCUUGAUGUUUGCAUUGAAUUGCUUUUUUUUAUUUUAUUAUUAAUCAUAUUUUGAAAACUUUUUUAAUGGAUACACUUUCAAAAUUUUCUUUCGUCAAAUAAAUCUAGGUAACCCAAGUGCAAUCAUCAAUAAGAGAAAUAAACCACUUGAAACCACAUAAAGAGAGACUUCUUGAGGAUUGAACAUUGUUAUGAAUCAAAUAAAAAGGAAUUUCCGAUUUAUUAUUUCUAGAAGGAAAAAAUACAUGAUGACUUUUUGAUAACUCACAAACUUCACAUCUAAGUUUAGAAAUAUCAACAUUUAAACAAAAAAUAGAAUACAAAAGUUUUUGAGAUAAGAAAUUAGGAUGGACCAUAUCUAUUGUGUUGCAACCAUAUUUCUUCCCCCUGCUUCUUUUUGUCUCCACUAAAUAACUCCCAAACACGUUGUCUUUCUUUUGGUUCAAGGAGAUACAAUCCCUCUCUCUCUUCAGCAUUGCCAAUUUCCUCCUGUAACAAGGUCUUGAAAAACAUAGGGAUUUGGAAAGAAAGUAACAAAAAAAUUCAAGGAUUUGAUUAGUUUGAUGAUAAACAACAAAUUACUAGAAUUUCUUUGGGGUGGUAGAGCUCUUGUGCAGAAAACACAUCUUGUUAGGUGGAACACAGUUUGCUUGGAGAAAAGGAAAGGUUGUUUGGGUGUGAGAAAUCUCUCUUUGAUGAAUAUAACUCUCUUAAGCAAGUGGAAUUGGCGGUAUGCCAAUGAAAGAGAGGCCCUUUGGAAGCAAGUCAUUAGUCAAAAGUAUGGUGAAGAGGAUGGGAGGUGGCACUCCUGUGAGGUGAGUGAGAGAUAUGAUGUGAGAUUGUGGAAAGCUAUUAGGAAUGAGUAUAAUUAUUUGAGUGGCAGGUUGGCCUACCAAGUGGGUAAUGGACAGAGAGUGAUAUUCUGGACGGACAAGUGGUGUGGAGAUGAGCCACUUUGCGAGUCCUUGUGUUCCUUGUUUACCCUUUCUUCGUCUAAGGAAGCUUGGGUGAAUGGACCCCUCUUUUCUUGAAGACCUUCAAUGAUUGGGAAAUAGAGUUGGUGGAACAUUUUCUGCAUAAGAUCCAAGCUUUUAGGGUGCGCAGGGAUGUGGAAGAUAUAGUGAUUUGGACAGUUUCGAGGUGUGAGACCUUUUCGGUCAAUCUCUUUAUUCUAUCUUGGAGCCCAGAGAUUCGACUUUGUUCCCUAGUGGUAGUGUUUGGAGAUCGAACGUGCCUCCUAAGUUGGCUUUCUUUGCUUGGGAGACUUCCUGGGGGAAAGUCUUAACUCUGGACCAACUUCAAAGGAGGGGACACUCCUUGGCAAAUAGGUGUUUUCUUUGCCUCUUAGAAGCAUAGACGGUUGAUCACCUUUUUCUUUACUGUGCAAAGAUUUGGGUUCUUUGGAAUCUUCUUUUCUCCCUCUUUGGUGUGUCUUGGAUUCUUUCUUGUUCAAUGAAGGAAACUCUUCUUAGGUGGCAUGGGUCGUUAGUAGGUAAAGCUUAUAAAAAGGCUUGGCAAGUGGCCCCCUUAUGUAUAUUUUGGACAGUUUGGAAGGAAAGGGAUUUGUUAGUGUUUGGCAAUGAGGAGCUUUCGCUCCAAAGAUUGAAAACUUCUUUUGUAUGUAACCUGUGGUCUUGGGGUAGGUUGUUUGUAGAUUUGAGCCCUUUUUCGCUUGUAAGUUUCAUUGAUUGGUUAGGCUCUAAGUAAGGGCAGAUGAUGUUUUUUGUUUUUAUCCCUCCUCCUUUGGUUUGAGCAUUUUGACUUCUUUUGUAUACUUCCUGUAUACUCUGAGGGCACUGUUUUGGUGUCACCUCUUUUCUUUUUAUAUGACUUUUCUUUACCUAUCAAAAAAAAAAAUAAACAACAAAUUACUAGAAAGGUUAGGAACAUAUACAACUGAAGAGAGAGUUAAGGAAGGAGAUACAAAAAUUUCUCCUCUACCACUAACAGAAGUAAAAAGAACCAUCUGAAACCUGAACUUUUUUUUUCUGAACAAGGACUAUAGGAGAGAAAAGAGGUGUAUUCAUUAAUCAUGUGAUCAAUUGCUCCAGAAUUAAUGAUCCAUGGGCUAAUCAAGGAUACUUUGGAAGUUUAAAAAAUGGAUUGAAUGUUUUCUGAUUGAGUAAUGACACAAGAAGUGGAUGCUUUUGAAGAAGAGUUCUCUGGUCGUUUAAAUAGUUUAAUCACAACCAAGAGAGCCCUUAUCCAUUCCUGCCUUUUGUUCAGCCUUGUAUGCACCAUCCACCACUGUUUUAAGGGUUGAUCCUUCGUUUAUUAAUGGAGAAUUGAGCGUAACUUUCCUUAUUUCUUCACCAGGGACUCAGGCAUAAACAUCUCGUAGAGAUAGAAGUGAUUUUUGUCCUAUAAUCUGUCCCCUGAUCUGGUCUAACUCUGGAUUUAAACCAGCCAGAAAUAACAAUUUCGCUCUUGGUCGACAAUCUUAGCAAGCUUGACAUUGUCAAUCACAGAUUCCAUCCUGAAGUGCUGGUAGUGAUACAAUUCCAGCCACAAACUUCGAAGUUUGUUGUAGUAAACUGCCUCUGAAGAAUUGAAUCCUGCUGUUUGGAAUCCCCAAACAUAUUUUUGACUAAAAUAUUGGGAAAAAUCACCAACAUUAGAAUAAGUUUGAACCGCUGCACAGCCCAUACUUCCUUUGCAGUUGAGAGGAAUAAGUAUGCCUUACCUAUUUCUGGUACCAUAGAAUUCAAUAUAUAUAAAUAUUCACAAUGUUUUGAGCCCGUUUUGUUUGCUAAUGUCUCAUUUAGCAUUUCCUUGUUUCAAUGAAAGUGCAAACAUCCUGUUGAAACCUGAAAUGAGAUGUGAGUUCAGGCCAUAUCCUUGUUAUUGCAUACAGUUUGUACAAGAUCAAAGUAAUUUGUUGGUCCUUCCAUAUAUAUAGAAAAGGGGAUGUGAAAAAUCUCAUGCUCGACCUGCAAUUUUAUACUUCUCUUUUUCAUGAAACGAUUUUAUACUCUAUUAAAAAUUUCAAUAUAAUAGCCUAGAACUCCAUUUAUUCGAGUACUUAUCAUCACUUGAACUUCUUUACUUUCCAUUUUACUUAUCUCCUGAAAAAGCUGGUUGCCUUGUGUCCUAUUUAAUUUUUGAAUUUAUUUGAGUUCUGAUAAUUGGAUGGUCUCUGUCAGGGAAGGAAUUGAAACAACGGAAACCCAGACAACCGAGAAUCAAGUCCAAGAAAAUAGAAAUUCAUGAGCAGGACAACAAGCAAAAGAGCCCCCCCUUUACUUUCAUGUUUACUGAGUGAGUCAAAGUGAAUGUAGAUUUUAUGCCUCUCUACACCUUUAAAAUACAAUAAAUAACAGUGACUUAAUGUGUGUUUCUGUAUUAUCAUUAAACGACAAGCUCCAUUUGUCUUCCAUAGCAUUUGAAGUUGCAAAUUUCUCAAUGAUAAUAGACUCCUUCCAUUACAGUAUCAUUUUUUGUUUCAUUAGAUCUUUGCAUACAACUUGAGAACAAUAUGAAGACUGGAUCCUUAGAGAAAACAUAUAGCUGUACAUUUUCAUGGAGACUCAAAGCACUGCUUUAAGUCUUUUUUUCCUCUUUGUCUUCAAGAUGAUCACAUUCUGUGUUUUGUAUGAUUUGAUAUGAAGGUGGCAAGGAAGGCAAAAGCGGGACACAAAUAGGGUCAGACGAAUGAUAAAACGAGUAUCGUCGGAUAUGCAUGAUGUGCAUGCACAAGUGUGACCAUUUUCCUUCUCUUGUAUCCUUUUGCUCCUGUAUUUCUAAUUAGAGACAAAACAUUUCAUUUAUGUAGGUUUAUGAAAUAUGAAGGAAAGGAACAAUGGAACAAGGGAGGCAAAGAAGAUGAUGGAUGAGCAUCUCUAUGAGAAGAAGAGUAGUUUUCCUUUUGGUGAAGGGUGUUUUUUUUUUUUAAUAAAUAAUUUGCUACAAGGGGAUUAUAUUUUCUGUAAGCUUUACAUGGUUUUGCGCAAUCCUUUUGUUUCUUUUGUAGAGAUAAAUUAUGAAAGUCCAUUUUUCCUAUUUAGUAUGGGAAUGAAGAAUGAAAUUGUAACAAUACUUGUUGCUUUUCUCGAUUUAGAGUGUAUUUGAUAAUAUUCUUAUUUGAAUUAUUUUGAGUCAAAGUAUUUUUUAAAAAAAUAGAGGAUCACCCUUCAAGUACUUUUCUAAGAAAAAUUUCGGUUUUUCAAAUUUUAUCAAAUACUUGAUUUUUUUUCAAAACUGUUUUUAUUUUUUUAUUUAUACUUUUUAUACUUAGAAGUAUUUUUUCUAAGUACAACUAGAGAGACUCUUAUUCUUGGAAAAUUGCCCAAGGGGUUGGGUGUCGUCUCUCUUCAUCGCACCUUAGGGAUUUUGGAUGGUAUAUUAAGAAAUUGCAUUCAAUAAAUUAAAUAAUUUCAAGUACAGUUAUAAAAUGAAAUAUAUAUAUAUAUAUUUGUGUAUCAAAUUUAUGGGGAAAAAAUUAAAAUUAGUUUUCGAAAUAAUUUUUAAAAAAUAGCAAGAAAUUUCAUAAGAGAACUUUCAAAUUUUUUUUGUAGUAAAAAAGGGCUAAGUUUUUAUUUAUUUGUUUAUUAUUUUAAUAAUAAUUUCAUUAUAACUUGUAGAAAAAUAAUUAAAUGAGAAUUUGAGAGUGAUAGAUGGUUUAAUUUAGGAAUUAUAUGUGAUAAGUUGAUAUCACUAUUGCAUCAUCAUUUAUAGUAUGUGUGACAGUGAUUUUAGAAAAUGUUUCCACUAUUUUUAAUAUUAGAACAAUAAAAAUUUUCAAAUAUUAAAAAUGUUAAAAAAGCUUACUAAAAUGACUGCUCAACGAAUUUUUAAUAUAAAUGACUUUUUUGAUGGAGUGAGUAUAAGUUUUUUGUCAUAUUAUUUUAUUAAAAUGAAUUAUAAACAAAUAAAAUUAAAUUUCAUAAACAUAGACUAUAAUUUAAUAUAGUCAAAUAAGUCAAUUAUUAAAUUAAAUCUUGAAUUUUUAGAAACUUUAAAAAUCUCAUAACAAAAUUAAAAUAGAAGAGAAUUCACUAUUAAAAUAAUUAUUUAAUAAGUAUUAAAUGCAAAAUUAUAAAAAAAUUAUUUAAAUUAUUGAAUAUAUCAAUAUUUUAAAAAGAAAAAAAAAAUACUAAUAGAAAAAAUAGAAAAAAAAAAGACAAAUAUGAGUGAAAUAGAUGUUAUUUAUUUUGAUCUUAAUUUGACCUUUAAGAUUGUUAUGUGAAUCAUAAAAAAUAAUAAUGUGACAUUUUUUUUAAUAAGAUUUAAUUAUAAUUUUAUUUAUUUUUUAAAUUCUAUUUUAGGGAGGCAGGUUUCCUUUUUCUCUUUAUUUUCAAACAUUAAUACACAAAUUUUUAUUAUUUUAAAUUUUUUUGGCGGGAUUGUACCGGCCUGCCACAUUGGCACAACGGUUAUAAAAGCUUCCUGAUCUUUUUCAGGGACUCAUUGUUUCGGUCUACAUCAGAGGCAAGCUCAAGCCCGCCGACCUUGGCACAACGGUAAUAAUUAAUAAAAGCUUCCUAAUUUUUCUCAGGUACUCAUUGUUUCGAUCUACAUCAGAGACAAUCUCAAGCAAUCCAGCCCACCGAGCUUGGCACAAAUGUAAUAAAAGCUUCCUAAUCUUUCUCAGGAACUAAUUCUUUCUAUCUACAUCAGACUGACCUUGAAUUUAUCUCUUGAAAUCUGGAAGAAGAGGACUGACUUUGAGCCGCCAAAGUUGCAGGAAGAAAUUGCCAAAAUGAAGGGGCGGACUUUGGAGGGCGGAGUGGAUGAGUUUUCCGAUGAAGAACUGAUGGAAAUUAUUGGUAAAUUGUGUAAGAAGCUUGAAGAAGUGGAGAAUAUUAUUGAUUUCACUAAGGGAGAAACUAAUUCGAUGAAUGAGGGUAUUGUGCACUGAUCUUAAAUGCAGGGUUUCUCUGCAAUUCAGCCACUUGUUAUCCAUGUGUCCAUGCAAGUCACCGAAACGUUGAAUAUGAUUUGGGGUUUUCAGAUCAAGGCACUGGAACUGUGGAUUAUGAUCUGGAUUUUCUUUUUGUCCCGUAAUGCUUGUUUUGGUUCCCAAGAGAAUGCUGGAUUGCAUAUUUUGAUGAUAUCCUAUACUAAACUGUGCCUAAUACUAUUUAGCUUAGUUUAGGUGGAAUUUUCUUCCUAAGGAGCCAUAAAAAUAUACAUGGGGUUCAAGUGUUUGUUUUGUUUGCCUCAAUUUUCUUAGCAACCAAUCACAGGUUUAACAUUUUCUAUGAACAAUUCUCUAAUCACAUCUUACUGUGGUCAAAGCAGUGUUAUACACUAUAAAUCUCCCAUGUCUUCACAUCUAUAAUAUGUAUAUAUAUGCUCUGCAGUUUCUCAGUAGUGUAAGUUGUUGUAAGUUGAUUAUUGCUAUUUUAGUAGUGCACCCUUCGGUCAGAAAGGAUGGAAGUCAGAUUAUGCAUAUGACUGCAUGCUUGGUUUUAUGAUUUCACCAUUUAACCUGAAUUCAGAUGUAGUUUUGAUAAUUUCACAGAAUUUUGGUUUUCCUAAUCAGUCCGCAUGACACUUAAAACAACUUCAAACCACUUGAAGAUGUUAAAUCAGCCUUGCCUUGACCCAAGCUUCCUAUGCUCAACUUUGCUUCUUCAAAGUGAACCAGGAAAAGACAACAUCCGAACACUUCAAGAUGAUAAAUUAGCCUUGCCCUGAACUGAAACUCCCAGCUUAGACCAAGCUUCCUUUGUUCAGCUUUGCUUAUUCAAAGUAAACCAGGAAAUGAGAUAUUCAAAGUUGCUAAGUUAGCCUUGCCCCGACCCAAGCUCCAAACUUACAACCCCAACUGCCUUUGCUUUGCGUUAUUUAUUUAAAGUGAACCAAGGAAAAGAAAAACUUGAAGAGCUUGAAAGAAUGAAGACUUUUAUUGCACAAAUAGCUUUACAAGACUUGACUGAAAAUUCACAAUAUUUCUCUUUAUGACUCCAUAAACUUCCAUCCAACUUUGGAAAACUCUAGAUGGCCCAAAAAACUUAUAGAAUAUUAGAAAAUUUAUAGAAUGUUAAAAAAUUUAUAGAAUGUUCCGAUCGUUUAAAGGGGGCUUUAGUUUGAAGGGUUAUUGGUAGAAAAGUCAAGUGCGGGUUUGUUUGUGGAGGCUGUUACAAUAAGUUAAGAGUGCACUUAUGUCUUACUUGGUUUGAUCAAGUAUGGCAUAUCUAAUAUUAGAAAUAAUUGCAAUGUUUGUUUAAUAUACACUAUCAUUAGAUUCCAUUCUUGCUUAAACUUUGGGCCAGCUACAAGCUUUUAAAAUGAUAUCAUCUUAAGUUUGAUUCUCUCUGUCUGUUAAUUCCCUCACUUUUUGUUUGUCUCUGAUCAAUUGUUGGUCAACUAACAUGUAAAGAAGGGUCUUGUUGGAAGCUAGCUAUUCCAAAUAUGAAUAAAAAUUUCACAGUAUAUCAAGUAUCUCACUGCAGUUUUAUAAUAUGAUUUAUCCAGAAAAAAGGGGAUUCCAAUACAUCAUCACCUAAGAAAAUUCAAUGCAAUGUGGAAAAUUCAAAGUCAGGAAACUAUGGGAAUUGAAACCAUUGGGUGGGAGUACAAUCAUGUUGUUAAAGCAUGGAAAAUUAUUAGCCAUGUGUCCCCAAGAUUGUGACUAGGAUUGGAGAUGGGUCAUAUCAGGUCAGAUUCGUAUCGGACUAAGUCUAAAUAUACAUAACAAUCAUCUGAAGUGUUUGUGUGGAUCGUAUAAAUUGUUGGAAGCUAGCUAUUCCAAAUAUGAAUAAAAAUUUCACAGUAUAUCAAGUAUCUUACUGCAGUUUUAUAAUAUGAUUUAUCCAGAAAAAAGGGGAUUCCAAUACAUCAUCACCUAAGAAAAUUCAAUGCAAUGUGGAAAAUUCAAAGUCAGGAAACUAUGGGAAUUGAAACCAUUGGGUGGGAGUACAAUCAUGUUAUUAAAGCAUGGAAUAUCAUUAGUCAUGUAUCCCAAGAUUGUGACAAGGAUUGGAGAUGGGUCAUAUCAGGUCAGAUUCGUAUCGGACUGAAGUCUAAAUAUACAUAACAAUCAUCUGAAGUGUUUGUGUGGAUCAUAGAAAUUUUCAUUUUACAGUUUUGUUUGAUUUGAAGUCAUUGGAUUCUUCAUCAGAAACUGACAGAGGGAUGAAGAAGACAAAACCUACAAAAGUUGCAAAGCUAACUGCCACCAUUUAUUCUUUUGGACCAAUAUGGAAGACUUACAGGUGACUUUAGUCACUGAAAUUGGUGCUUGGAAGCAAAAUUUCCAGCAUAUAUGGAUAAGAUUUUCUUAAUAUCUGAGGCUUUCAUGGGAAAUUUCAUCAUUCCCUCCACCAGUUAAGCUUGAGAAUUUUUGGUUUUUGGCUCAAUCUUUGUAAUCCAAAUUAUAUGGCAACUACACUGGCUUCUCAUUCUCUAGGCCAUUGUCUUCUGCCUCUGCUGCUGCUGCUUCUGCUUCUGCUUCUGCUACUGCUGCUGUUAGUUUCAAGUGAUGCUCAAAUUUCUCGUAACUUUACUUCGGGCUCAUCCCUCAUUGCGAGAGACAACAAUUCCUUUUUGGCGUCCCCGAAUGGUGAUUUCGCUUUUGGAUUCCAACAGGUUGGAAGUGGAGGCUUCUUGCUAGCUAUUUGGUUCAACAAAGUACCUGAAAGGACCGUAGUUUGGUCAGCCAACGGCGAUAGUCUGGUGCAAACUGGAUCCAGAGUUCAACUUACCACUGAUGGAGAAUUCAUGCUCAAUGACCCUAAAGGUAAACAGAUGUGGAAGGCUGAUCUGAACAGUACUGGAGUUGCCUAUGCAGCCAUGCUGGACACUGGAAACUUUGUGCUUGCAGGCCACAAUUCCACCUAUCUGUGGCAGAGCUUCAAUCAUCCAACAGACACAAUAUUACCCACCCAGAUACUGAAUCAAGACAGCAAACUUGUUGCUCGUUUCUCGGAGGUGAAUUACUCAAGUGGAAGAUUCAUGCUUAUAUUGCAAACUGACGGGAAUCUUGUGCUUUACACCAUUGAUUUCCCAAUGGAUUCUAAUAAUUAUGCAUAUUGGGCAACUGCCACUGUACUCAGCGGGUUUCAGGUGAUCUACAAUGAGUCUGGUGACAUAUACCUCAUAGGGAACAACAGGAUAAAACUCAGUGAUGUACUGUCAAAUAAAAAACCAACAGGAGAAUUCUAUCAGAGAGCAAUUCUUGAAUAUGAUGGAGUUUUCAGACAGUAUGUCCACCCGAAGUCUGCUGGCUCAGGUGCUCCUAUGGCCUGGUCCCCUUUAUCCGCAUUCAUACCUGAAAAUAUCUGCACAAAUAUUACCGCAAGUACAGGCAGUGGAGCUUGCGGGUUCAACAGCUACUGCACACUAGGAGAUCAUCAGAGACCUAUUUGCAAGUGCCCUCCUGGUUACACCUUUUUGGAUCCACACAAUGAAGUGAAGGGAUGCAGACAGGACUUUUAUCCAGAGAUUUGUGAUGAAGGAUCUCAUGAAACAGGUAGGUUUGAUUUUGAAAGGAUGACAAACGUGGAUUGGCCAACGUCAGAUUAUGACCGAUUUCAACUAUUUACUGAGGAUGAUUGCAGAAAAGCUUGCUUGGAAGAUUGUUUUUGUGCGGUUGCAAUUUUCAGAGAUGGGGAUUGUUGGAAGAAGAAAAUCCCUCUUUCAAAUGGGAGGUUUGAGUCUACUAAUGACCGAAUAGCUCUCAUUAAAGUAGAGAAGAAGAAUUCUUCUUUCCCACAUGGAGGUGAAGGUUUUAAGGACAAGCAUGAGUCCAUUCUGAUCCUUGCUGGAUCAGUGCUGCUAGGCAGCUCGGUGCUUCUGAAUGUUCUUCUCCUCCUAGCAACUGCUACAUUCAUCCUCCGCUUGUAUUGCAGAAAACCAGCAAUCAUUGAAUCACAACAAGUCAUGGUGGGAAGAAACCUACAAAGUUUCACUUACCAUGAGCUGGAGGAGGCCACCAAUGGAUUCAAGGAUGAACUAGGAAAGGGGGCUUUUGGAACAGUCUACAAAGGGAGCUGCAAUGGAAAUCUGGUUGCAGUAAAAAAGUUAGAAAGGAUGGUGAAAGAAGGAGAGCGGGAAUUUGAAACAGAAGUGAGUGCGAUUGUCAGGACAAAUCACAAGAAUCUAGUCCAACUUCUGGGGUUCUGCAAUGAGGGGCUACACCGGCUUCUAGUAUACGAGUUCAUGAGCAAUGGCUCCUUAGCAACCUUCCUAUUUGGAAGUUCAAGACCUAAAUGGCACCAAAGAAUACAGAUUAUCCUAGGAACUGCAAAAGGCCUUCUGUACUUACAUGAAGAGUGCAGCAUCCAGACCAUACAUUGUGACAUCAAGCCUCAAAACAUUCUCCUGGAUGACUCCUUAACAGCAAGGAUAUCAGACUUUGGAUUGGCUAAGUUUCUGAAAACAGAUCAGACGCGAACCAUGACUGGAAUCAGGGGAACCAAAGGCUAUGUUGCCCCUGAGUGGUUCAAGACAGUGCCCAUUACCGUCAAGGUUGAUGUUUACAGCUUUGGAAUUGUGUUGCUUGAGCUCAUAUUCUGCAGGAAGAAUUUUGAAGUGGAGGCUGAGGACAAAAGUCCGGUCGUAUUGGCUGAAUUGGCAUACUAUUGCUACAAAGAAGGGAAACUGGAUAUGCUACUGGACAAUGAUGAAGAGGCACUGGAAGACAUGGAGAGGCUGGAGAAGUUUGUGAUGAUAGCAUUUUGGUGCAUUCAGGAUGAUCCACAUCAAAGGCCUGGAAUGAAGAAAGUCACUCAGAUGCUUGAAGGAGCCAUUGAAGUUUCUUCUCCUCCAGACUCAUCCUCAUUUACCCUUUCAGUUUGAUGCUUUCCAUAUAGGCAUAUAGAUAGAUAAUAAUGAUGGCAAUUCACUUAUUUUGGAUUGUUGGUACUGUACUUCAGUUUUUAGUAUCAGACAUCAUGAAGAUAUCAAGUUGUAAUGUAUAACUAAUGUAUGGUUUUGUGUUAUUCUCUAGUCAAUUAUCAAGUUUUUAGUAUUGUUUGGUGUCUGAUUAUAUUCAAAUCUUGCAAGUCCAGGUGAUUGGAAGGCAAUGACACCUUUCGAUAUACAGUCUCAAAACAUAUUUCUUGAUGUGAGUCUGAUAUGUAUUGUUAAAACAAUAAAUUAACAUGGUAUCAGAGCUUUGGUUUCUAUGAAUCCCAAGUUCGACUAUCUAUAUUCUCUUAUUGUCAUCUAUUUUUUCUUUGAUCCAAGUGUAUGUGUUUGCCAUGAAGAAAAGUGUUAUACUAAUAUACAAUGUUAGACCAUUAUCUAAUAACUAAGUGUUUUGGUUCUUUACUAGCUUGGCCUGAUAUUGGUGCUAGCUAUACUAGACGUCUCAAGUUUGAGUUUAUCCAUCUAUUUAUUUUCCCAUUUAUUUUUAGGAAUAUUUGAUUAAAAGAGUUAAAAUAUGAUUUUAUUUUACAUAAAUGAUGUCCACUUUUUCGAAACAAGCAAAAUGAUCUUUUAUGGACAAAAAUACCUUUCAUCAAAUUUUUUAUACUCAUUUCAUAUUAAAACAUUUUUUAUAAAAUAACAUAAAGGGCAUUUUGGUCUAUUUGAGGUUCUUUUUGCAUUUCAAACAUGAGAAGGUUAUUUUUUCAAAGUGACGAAUGUUUUAGCCUUUUAGCAUAAACAUUUCUUGUUACCAUGUGAUAUGUGGUCGUAAAGGUCUUGAUUUUAAAUAUCUUUGUCUUGUUCUCCCAUUUCUGCCUUUCCAUUCGCUAUCCAUUCUUUUUGAUCCAUUAUUCUUAUUUUUUUGGGGUUAAACUAGAGGUCUCGAGUUUGAGUCUUUCUAUCUAAUUAUUCUUCUAGUUUAUGGGAUCUUAGUGUGGAAAGGUGUGAGCCUGAUAUACUUUGUUGGCUAAGCUUGUAUACAAUAAAUUUACUUCAUAUGAUUCAUCAUCAUAUUCAAUUUGUAAUGAUGUUCUACAAUUGAGAACUUGCUUUCAGGGUAGUUUUAACCCACAACAAACCAACCAUUCAAUGAAUAGAAAUGUGGAAAAGUCGGACCAAAGUUUUGUUGAAAAGGCACCAGGAAAAUUUGGGAAUUGAGGCCAUUGGCAGCAGCCUAGAAAAAUCAGAGGACAACCAUGUCAAUGAUGCAAGAAAACCACUGCUUGAGUAAUGACAAUGUUAUCUAAAUUUUCAUGGAAACUUCCCCACUGUGCCCUGCCUUCAACCUUAUCUCAAGGGUUUGUGUGGAUCUUAUAACUUCCAUUCAACAUCUGACAAUGACUCAGACCAAGAAAAGUUGAGCAGCUGCCAUGCACCAUUCAUGUCCUUUUUUGGAUCAUUGAGGAGACCUGCUGUUGACUUAAAACUCACUACAAGAAAACAAAUGUUGAAGAAGUAACCCUGCAAAUUUUCCAGCACAUGUGAAGAAAAUUUCCAUGGAAAAUUCAGUGUCUCCCACCAGUUGCAGCUUGGGGGAUUCUGCAGUUUCAGUUCAAUCUAUGUAAUUCAAAGUUAUCAGUUAGCUUUCCCAGCAUGGCAACUUCAUUGCCUAGUCAUUCUCUAUGGUAUUCACUUCUGCUUCAGCUGCUGCUGCUGCUGCCUGUUCUGAGUGUUGCUAAAACUCCUGUGAAGUUUACUUUGGGCUCAUCCCUCACUGCCAUAGACAACAGUUCGUAUUUGGCAUCACCAUCGGGUGAAUUCGCUUUUGGAUUCCAACAGAUUGGAAGUGGAAGGUUCUUGCUUGCUAUUUGGUUCAACAAAAUACCUGAAAAGACCAUAAUUUGGUCAGCCAAUGGCAAUAAUCUAGUGCAGAGAGGAUCCAAGAUUCGCCUUACCAGUGAUGGUGAGUUCAUGCUGAAUGACCCAACAGGCAAACAGAUAUGGAAAGCUGAUCCAGUCAGUCCUGGAGUCUCCCAUGCGGCCAUGCUCGACACUGGAAACUUUGUGCUGGCAAGCCAAGAUUCCACCCUUCUGUGGGAGAGUUUCAAUCAUCCAACAGACACAAUAUUACCUACCCAGAUCCUGAAUCAAGGCGGCAAACUUGUUGCUCGGAUUUCGGAUAUGAGUUAUUCAAGUGGGAGAUUCCUGUUUACAUUACAAGAUGAUGGAAAUCUUGUGCUUUCCCACAGGGAUUUCAGAAAGGGUUCUACUAGUACUGCUUAUUGGUCUAGCCAGACAGAAGGUGGAGGCUUUCAGGUUAUCUUCAACCAGUCUGGCCAUGUCUACCUUUCAGGGAGAAACAGCAGCAUACUCAAUGGGGUGUUUUCCACUGCAGCUUCCACAAAAGACUUCCACCAGAGAGCAAUUCUUGAACAUGAUGGAGUCUUCAGGCAAUAUGUCUACCCAAAAAAAGCUGCUGUUUCAAGUGCCGGUAGCUGGCCUAUGACCUGGACCUCUUUGGCCUCAAUAGCAACAGAGAAAAUCUGCACCAUCAUCAAUGCAGAAACAGGCAGUGGAGCUUGUGGCUUCAACAGCUACUGUAUUUUGGGAGAUGAUCAGAGGCCUUAUUGCAAGUGCCCUCCUGGCUACACCUUCUUGGAUCCACAUGAUGAAAAGAAGGGAUGCAAGCAGAACUUUGUCCCACAGAGCUGCAAUCAAGAAUCACGAGAAACCAAUGAGUUUGAUUUUGAAAAUAUGACAAACGUGGACUGGCCGCUGGCAGAUUAUGAACACUUUAAAGAAGUAACUGUGGAUUGGUGCAGAAAUGCCUGCUUGGAUGAUUGUUUUUGUGCUGUUGCUAUUUUUGGAGAUGGGGAUUGUUGGAAGAAAAAAAACCCUCUCUCAAAUGGGAGGUAUGAUCCUAGUAACGGAAGAUUAGCUCUGAUUAAAGUAGGAAAGGGUAAUUUUACUUGGCCACCAAACUGGGAAGGCUUCAAGAAGAAAGAUCGGUCAACUCUAAUCACCACUGGGUCUGUGCUGCUAGGUAGCUCAGUUUUUCUGAACCUUCUCCUCCUCCUAGCAGCAAUUAUGUUCAUCUUCUACUUGAAUGACAGAAAAUCAAAGGCUGUCGAACCAAGGCCAGCCAUGGAAGGAGCCAACCUAAGAAGUUUCACUUACAGUGAGCUAGAAGUGGCUACUGAUGGAUUCAAGCAUGAAAUUGGAAGGGGGGCUUUUGCAACAGUUUAUAAAGGGACGCUAGCCCAUGACAAUGGGGAUUUUGUUGCAGUCAAGAGGUUGGACAGGAAGGUGGUAGAAGGAGAGCAGGAAUUCGAGACUGAAGCAAGUGUAAUUGGCCGGACCAAUCACAAGAAUCUAGUCCAGCUCCUGGGGUUCUGCAAUGAGGGACAACACCAGCUUCUUGUAUACGAGUUUAUGAGUAAUGGUUCUCUAUCAGCCUUCCUAUUUGGAAAAUCAAGGCCAAGUUGGUACCACAGGAUACAGAUUAUCCUUGGGACUGCAAGAGGGCUCUUGUACUUACAUGAAGAGUGCAGCACCCAGAUCAUACACUGUGACAUUAAACCUCAAAAUAUACUCCUAGACGACGGUUUCACAGCAAGGAUCUCCAACUUUGGAUUAGCAAAGCUUCUGAAGUCUGAUCAGACUCGAACGAUGACUGGAAUCAGGGGAACCAGAGGGUACCUUGCCCCUGAGUGGUUCAAGACAGUGCCUAUUACUGUCAAGGUUGAUGUUUACAGCUUUGGAAUUCUGCUGCUGGAGCUCAUUUUCUGUAGGAAGAAUUUUGAGCUAGAGCUGGAGGAUGAAGAUCAGGUGGUAUUGGCUGAUUGGGCAUAUGAUUGCUACAAAGAAGGGAAACUGGAUCAGAUACUGGAAAAUGAUAAGGAGGCAUUGAAUGACAUAGAGACAGUGAGGAAGUUUUUGAUGAUUGCAUUCUGGUGCAUUCAGGAGGAUCCAUCUAAAAGGCCUACCAUGAAGACAGUCACUCAGAUGCUUGAAGGUGCACUUGAAGUUUCUGUUCCUCCAGAUCCGUCCUCAUUUAUCAGUUCAACUUGCUUCAUUUCCACUCCAGGAAGUAAUGGUGCUUGAUACUGGUCUGCUGGUGAAAAUGGAUUUAGUAGCAAGUAUUAUAUAGAUAUCCAGUUAUGUUGUACUUAAUCUAUGGUAAGCCAUGGUUUUGAAUCUUUAUCUACUUCAACUAGUAGUCGUGUUAAAUAUUGAUAUUUGUAAAAUUAUAUUUUCCUCUGGUCUAAAUUAUAGUAUCAAUAUUGUGAUAUUUUUCAUUUGAAUCUUCAAUCAAUAGAAUCAUCACUCAAGUUCAGGCAAUUGGAAGGCAUCAACACUAAUACAGAUCAUGGUCUCAAGCCAUCAACUGACUCCAAAAAGUUCAGGAAAGAAAAAAAAAAAAAAAAAAUCCAAAAAUCAGUAGCAGACAGAAACAUACUGUAAUCCAAAAAUCAGAAUUGAUACAUGUUAUGUGAUUGAAAAUUGAGUCUAAAACAUGAACAAGAAAUCAAAAUUUGAUCAGCCAGUUAUGCAAAUGGCAAACCAAAAUAACAUCUGAAUAGAGAUUACUCAGACCCAAAACCUUCUAUGCAAGUCCCUCUGUGCAUUUUCAAUAUCUGAAUUGAGGGAUAAUAUAUUGUUAUAAGAAUACAUUCAAUACAUAGGCAAUAGUGGAAAAUUUUACUGAAUCAAAACCAGCCAUACAAGUCCUUCAGAGCACUUUUCAUCUCAGAAUGUAGAGCUGGUGGCAAAGGGAAAUUAAUCUGCCAAUAAGGAUACAAUCUGCAGUAAAACAAUAAAUUCAUCUUAGACCAAUACUAAAUAGAGAUAUUCAUUUCUUUUAGCCUUGAUGGUAGCCAAGCACAAGCCUACUAUCAUCAGUGAACUCUACUUUAGAUCCCCUGUUCAGCAGGCUGAUUUCCAUCUGCAUAUUGGACUAUGGUCUUCUGGGGUAUCAUGUUUUAUCAUCUUGAAGGUAAGAUCAGAUCCUCUUUGUCCAGUUGGUGAAAUCACCAGGAGGAAAACAGCUAAACAUGAGAGCAGAAGAAACAACAUGAGAAGAGCAAGAGAAGUGAAUUUGUUCUGAUAUUUUGCUGCUCACUUGAUGAACACUGACUUUUGAGUCCUCUUAGAAUAGAAGUUAGGAUAAAAAGAAUGCAGAACUUUACCAAUCCAAAGGGAAUAAUAACCCUAGAUUGAUUACUUAAUACACUUAGGCAAAACAUCUCCACAUUAUUUCUUUCUACACACCAAAAGUACAACACCAGCAAUCUAAUACACCUUAUUCAUUAUCAACCAAUAUUAUAUGUCUAUUUGGAAAGCAUCAAGCUGAGCUGGUCAAUGAGGGUGGGUCUGGAGGACAGGAACUUCAGUGGCACCUUCCAGCAUCUUCAUGACUGUCUUCAUUGUCGGUCUCUGAGAUGGAUCCUCCUGAGUGCACCAGAAUGCUACCAUGACAAACUUCUCCAGCCUCUUUAUGUCAUCCAAUGCCUCCUGAUCAUUUCCCACUAAUAGAUCUAAUUUCCCUUCUUUGUAGCAAUCAUAUGCCCAUUCUCCCAAUACCAUCUGCUUUUCAUCCUCCACCUCUGGCUCGAAAUUCUUCCUGCAGAAGAUUAGCUCUAGCAGCACAAUUCCAAAGCUGUAGACAUCAACCUUGAAUGUAAUAGGCACCUUCUUGAACCACUCAGGGGCAGCAUACCCUUUGGUCCCCAUCACUCCAGUCGUAGUUCCAGUCUGAUCCAUCUUCAGAAGCUUAGCUAAUCCAAAAUCAGAAAUCCUUGCUGUUAAAGAGUCAUCAAGGAGUAUAUUCUGAGGAUUAAUAUCACCGUGAAUAGCCUGGAUGCUGCACUCUUCAUGCAAGUACAAGAGCCCUCUUGCAGUUCCUAGGAUAAUCUCCAUUCUUUUAUACCAACUUGGUCUUGAAUUGCCAAAUAGGAAGGUUGCUAAAGAGCCAUUGCUCAUGAACUCAUACACAAGAAGCCGGUGUUGCCCCUUAUUGCAGAAUCCCAGAAGUUGGACUAGAUUUUUGUGAAUUGUCCGGCCAAUUGCACCCACUAUUUUUUCAAAUUCCUGCUUGUCUCCUUCUCCCACUGCUCUGUCCAGCUUCUUGACUGCAACAAGAUUUCCAUUAUCAUGGGCUAGAGUACCUUUGUAAACUGUUGCAAAAGCCCCAGUUCCCAGUUCAUCCUUGAAUCCAUCAGUGGCCUCUUCUAGCUCAUCAUAAGCGAAUCGUUUUAGAUUUGUUCCCAGCAUGACCAGGCGUGAUUCAUCAAUCAUCGGCUUUCUCUGAUUCAAGCGGUAGAUGAACAUGGCAGUUGCUAGGAGGAGAAGAAUGUUGAGAAGCACUGAGCUACCUAGCAGCACUGAUCCAGUGAGGAUUAGAGUAGCCUGAUCUUUACCUUCACUUCCAAGUGGGAAAGUAGAAUUAUCCUUUCUUACUUUAAUCAGUGCUAUUCGCCCGUUACUAGAAUCAAACCUCCCAUUUGACAGAGGGAAUUUCUUCUUCCAACAAUCCCCCUCUCUAACAAUGGCAACAGCACAAAAGCAAUCAUCCAAGCAAGCUUUUCUGCACUCAUCCUCAGUAAAUAGCUGAAAUCGGUCAUAAUCUGACAAUGGCCAAUCCACGUUUGUCAUCCUCACAAAAUCAAACUCACCUGUUUCAUGUGAUCCUUCACUGCAAAUUUCUGGAAAAAAGUUCUGUCUGCACCCCUUCACUUGAUCAUGCGGAUCCAAGAAGGUGUAACCAGGUGGGCAUUGGCAAUAAGGCCUCUGAUCAUCUCCCAGAGUACAGUAGCUGUUGAACCCGCAAGCUCCACUGCCUGUCCCUGCUGUAAUUGCUGUGCAGAUGUUUUCAGGUAUGAAAGAAGACAAACUGGACCACCCACCAGCCCUUGAGCCGGCAGUUUUUGGGUAGACAUAUUGCCUGAAAACCCCAUCAUAUUCAAGAAUCCCUCUCUGGUAGAAGUCUGGAGUUGAAGCCUUAUUUGGCAGCACUUCAUUGAGUAUGCUUCCAUUCCUCCCUAUAAGGUAGAUGUUACCCGACUGGUUGAAUAUCACCAGAAAGCCACUGCCUACAGUGUCACUUUCCCAGUAAGCAAAAUUUGCAGAAUCCAUUGGGAAAUCAGUGGUGUAAAGCACUAGAUUCCCAUCAGUCUGCAGCGAAAACAUGAAUCUUCCCCUUGAGUAAUUCGUUUCUGAGUAACGAGCAACAAGCUUGCUGCCUUGCUCCAGUAUCUGGGUGGGCAAUAUAGUGUCUGUUGGAUGAUUGAAACUCUCCCACAAAUAGGUGGAAUUCUGGCUUGCAAGCACAAAGUUUCCAGUGUCAAGCAUGGCUGCAUACGCGACUCCAGGACCGAUCAGAUCAGCCUUCCACAUCUGCUUGCCUUUCUGGUCAUUGAGAAUGAACUCUCCAUCAGUGGUGAGUUCAACUUUGGAUCCUCUUGGCUUUGGAUUAUCGCUGUUGGCUGACCAAAUUAUGGUCUUUUCAGGUACUUUGUUGAACCAAAUAGCUAGUAGGAAACCUCCAUUUCCAAUCUGUUGGAACCCAAAAGCGAAAUCACCAGAUGGGGAUGCCCAAAAGGAAUCGUUCUUCUGAGCAGUAAGGGAAGAGCCCAAGCUAAACUUCCCAGAAGUUUGAGCAUAGCUUGAAACAGGUUUCAGCAGAAGAAGCAGAAGCAGAAGCAAAUAGCAGAGAGGGUGAUUACAAGGCAGUGUAGGUGCCAUGUUAAGAGAGCUAAACUACAAAGACUGAACUGAAACUGAACCUCUCAAGUUGUAACUGGUGGGAGGAAGAGGAGCUAUGAAUUUAAUAUCCAUGGAAAUUUUCUUCUCAUGGGCUAGAAAUUUAGCAGAUUUCUUUAACAAGUACUGCUGUCUUAGAUCAUCGUCUUCUAGUGACUUUACUCGAGUAUAUCACCUCAUUGGUCCAAGAAAAAAGAAUGGUGCACCUUGGCUAGACAAUUCUUGUAGGUUUUAGUCUUAGUCAGCUGGGUCACUGUCAGUAAUGAAAAUCAUAUAUACGUGCUUCAAACUGAAUGAAAAUUCAUAGUAUCCACCCAUAAAAUUCAGAUAAGGUUGCAGACUCGCAGGUAGGGUACAUGAAGAUCCAAUGGAAAUUUAGAAACCCCUGUUCAUUACUUGAACUUUGACCUUUAGUUGUAGCUCUGAGGCAAAUUUUCUGUCUCUUUCGGUUCAUCUUGGACAUUAGCAACCAAUAUGUAAAUACACUGGCAUCCCAUCAGUGGAGGAUCAGCAACUCUUAAAGAGUUCGUUUGUCUGCCAUUUUGGAAGCGCUUCUAGCGUAAAGAAAUAUUUUUGAAGAAAAAUAAGACCUUUGAUAAAAUUUUAAAAAUACUUUUAAAAAAUUUAAAAAUUGUUUGCAGUGCUUCAUGAAAAUUAAAAUUAAGCUCAAGACAUGUCUUCAAAAAGAACUUUAUUUAAAAAUAGGAAAAUGUGAGGGAAAGAAAAGAGAGAGGAAAAGUAGAAAGAAAGAAAAAAUGAAGGAAAAUAAAAAAUAGGUUUAGGUUAUUGAAAAUUAUUAAGGAAAAAAAAUGUUAAAGAAAAUGAUUUUUUAAUGUUUGGUUUUAACAUAAAAUAUAAAAAAAUAUAAUUAAAAUUAGUUAAAAAUCUAUACAUUUUUUAAAUUAUUUAAUUUUUAUAUAGAAGAAGAAAAUAAGAGAAAUGAGUUUACGAUAGCAUAUGAAAUAAUUUAUUGAUUUUAAUUUUUUAAAAUUUUUUUUCUUCACUUUAUUUUUUAAAAUUUUUCUUCAUUUUUUUUCCUUUAACUUUUUCUUUCUAUUUUCUUUCCUUCGUAUUUUCCCUCACAUUUUUAGGGAACCAAAUAUAGCCUUAAACUCAGUAAAUUAUUUUUAUAGACUUCUUAAAACUCAUUUGACUUAUUUUUGGUUAUUAUAUAAAGAUUAAAUAAUUUAAAAAUAUAUAAAAUUUUAACAAUAAUUAUAUUUGAUUUUCUUUUGUAUUUUUCAUGGUAAAACUAAAUAUGAAAAAAUCAUUUUUCUUUAACACUUUUUAUUUCUUUAAUACUUUUCUACAACCAAACAUAGUUUUAAUGAAAGAAAAAUAUUAAAUGAAAUUUAUUUUUUUUCAUAUUUGAUCGUCUUAUAAAAAAAUUCCAAAGAAAAUUAAAUAUAAUUAAAAUCAGUUAACAACUUAUAUAUUUUUAAAUUAUUUAAUCUUUAUAUCAAAUAGUUUGAAAUAAUAUAUAAAAAUAAUUUAUUAACUUUAAAUUUAUUUUUUAUUUUUCUUUGUUUUAACUUCCUUUUACUUUUAGGUUAUGUUUGAUUAUUGAAACAUAACGAGAAAAGAAAAAAAUUGAUGGAGAAAACAAUUUAAUUUUUAUAUCAAAAAAUUAAAGUAAUAAAAUGACUUUGAAGCGGUAUAUAUAAAUAAUUUAUGAACUUAAAUUUAUUUUUCAUAUUUUCUUUUCUUUUACUUUUCUUCUAUUUUCUUACCUUUAUAUUUUUCUUUCAUAUUUUCAAGAACCGAAUAGAGCCGUGGUCUUCAUUUUUUUUUUCUUUACAUCUUCUCUUAAAUUUUCUGGAAACUAAACAUAGCCUUAUGUUAAUCAAUUUUCCAAAUUUGUCUAUUGCUAAUGUAAUUUUGAUUCGUUCCCUCGACUAUAGGUUGGAUUCAUCUUUGAUCACUAGUAUCUUUCUUUGAUAGAUCAAAUAGAAGAAAAUUAUUUUAUUUAUUUAUUUUUAUCAUCCUUAUACUUUUGAGAACCAAAGAUAAUUUUUCUUUGAUGACUGGCUGGCUGGGGGCGGCUCCAAGACUCUGGACUUUUCAAUAAGAUUGAGACAAUGACACUAGGAAAGGGUCAUAUAUGUACUCAAGGAAUAGCUUCAUUUGUAUUUGUUAAUUGAUUAGAUAAGUGUUGGUAUGAUAUUUCAUUCAAUAAAUUAUAAGGUGGGUGGAGUUAUUUUCAAAUUGUAUCUAUAAACCCUUUUUUAUUAAAUAUUUUUUAAAGAAUAGAAAAUAAUUAAUGUUAGGCUUAGUUUUGAUACACUUGUUUUUUUUUAAAUAAAACUUCUAUGUAAAAAGAAAGAACCUGAAAAUCAUUAAAAAUAGUCUUAUGUGAUUGGUUUUGUAAAAAAAUUGAAUUUAUCCCUCAUUGUAUGAAAAUACUCAUUGAUUAAUUAAGAAAAGUUACUCUUUAUCCGCUUAAAUAGUCCAAUAUAAAAAGAUUUAGUUUAUAAAAGUAUUUUCGAGAUUAUGUCAACUGCUUCAUUAAACAAUGAGAUGUAGGUACAAAGCAAAAUAAUUAAGGUACAAUACAGUGAAAUUUAGAUGUAAAACAAUGAAAUUAAAGUCAUAAAGUAAUGAGAUUGGAGUUCAAAACAAUAAGCCCAAUUGAUAAUGAUGUGAUUUUAUCUUUUAGAGUGAAAUCAUGAAUUUAUGGAGUAGAUUGACUAAUCUUGAGGGUAUUAUUUGUAAUUUUGUGAGUGUUUUUACUACUUUUAGAAGUGGAAUUACAUGUCCUGGGUGAAGGGACGGGUUGUGACAAUUUACCUCUAUAUUCAACAAUUUCUUUGUUACUUCAUUUUCUUCAAUUUUAUGAACAAAAUUUUAAUUUUUCUAUGGUAUUAAUAAAUAAAUUUUAUUUUAUUUUUUCAAAUUGUGGCUUGUGAUUUUCUUUAUGAAAUAAAUAUAUAGAUAUUUUUAUAAUUUUUCUUUAAUACAAUUUUUUUUUUAAGAUAAUAUUUUAUUUCAGUUAAUUAAAAAACUCUUCCUUUUUUUUUUUUAAUCUCUACAUUAGGUAAUCUCUUAAAAAUAAGAAAGAGGAAUUUCAUGUAAAUCUCUUUAAUGCCCCACAGAAGGUUUGGACUGGGUCUCCAAAAAUCCACCUCUCCCCUUGGUAACCAAAGAUCUUUACUUUGAAUGAUCAAAAUUUUGAAUAAUUUUCUAGAAUAUUAAAAAUUUGUUUGUUGGUGAUUUUAGAAAAUAUUUUUAAUAUUUUUAAUAUUUUAAAAAUUUUAUUAUUUAAGUUUUAAAAAUUUUAAAAAUAUUUUUUAAAAUUAUUGUGAAACACACCUAAAUGAACGGCAACUUUCAAUGAUUUCUGUACAAACAGUGACAGGCAAGACCAUGACCCAAAACUGCUACUAAAUUUCCAUGGCUGGGACGCACCAAUAAUCAUCUGUCGGCCAUGAGUUGACUCUCUUUAAGUCAGGUCCAUGGAAGAUGAUGCAGGGAAGGAAAAGUGGAAUCGGCCUGCAACCUUCCCAGGAAUUAAAUUUUCUUUCUAAAAAACUUUCAUGGAAAAUCCAUCAUUCAUUGUAACUGUUACAGCUUGAGAGAUUAUCUUCCAGUUCAAUCUUUGUAAUUCAAGCUAGUUUUUCCCAGCAUGGAAAAUCCUCUGCGCUAUUUGCUUCUGCUUUUGCCUCUUCUGCUGCUGCUGCCUGUUUCAAGCGUUGCUCAAUCUUCUGGGAACAAUAUUACUUUGGGCUCAUCCCUCACUGCUCGGGACAAUGAUUCGUGGGCAUCCCCAUCUGGAGAAUUUGCUUUUGGAUUCCAAGAGAUUAUACCUGGAGGGUUCUUACUAGCUAUCUGGUUCGACAAAAUACCUGAAAAGACCAUAGUUUGGUCAGCCAAUGGCGAUAAUCUAGUGCAGACAGGAUCCAGGGUUGAGCUUACCAGUAAUGGUGAGUUUGUGCUGAAUGACCCAUCAGGGAAAGAGGUUUGGAGGGCUGAUUCUGGGGGGACUGAAGUCAGCUAUGCAGCCAUGCUCGACACUGGAAACUUUGUGCUGGCGAGCCAAGAAUCCAGCAAUCUGUGGGAGAGUUUCAGUCAUCCAACAGACACGAUCUUACCAACCCAGAUACUGAAUCUAGGCAGCCAACUUGUUGCUCGUUUCUUGGAGACGAAUUACUCAAAUGGAAGAUUCAUGUUUGCGUUACAAAGCGAUGGGAAUCUAGUGCUUUACACCACUGAUUUCCCAAUGGAUUCUAACAAUUUUGCUUAUUGGUCUACUCAGACAAUGGACAGUGGAUUUCAAGUGAUCUUCAACCAGUCUGGCCGCAUCUAUCUUAUAGGGAGGAACAGAAGCAUACUCAAUGAUGUGCUGUCAAAUGAGGUGAAUAUGAGAGAGGAUUUCUACCAGAGGGCAAUUCUUGAAUAUGAUGGGGUUUUCAGGCAAUAUGUCUACCCAAAAUCUGCAGCCUCAGGGACUAUGGCCUGGUCCUCCUUGUCCAAAUUCAUACCUGAAAAUAUCUGCACGAGAAUUGGAGCGAGUACCGGCGGUGGAGCUUGCGGGUUCAACAGCUACUGCAGACUGGGAGACAAUCAGAGACCCAGUUGCCACUGCCCUCCUGGUUACACCUGGUUGGAUCCACUUGAUUCUUUGGGUGGAUGCAGACAGAACUUUGUACAGCAGAGAUGUGAUGCAGGAACACAAGAAGCGGGCCUGUUUUAUUUUUCAGAGAUGCUGGGUGUGGAUUGGCCGUAUGCCGACUACCAACAUUUUAAAGGUGUAACUCAGGAUUGGUGCAGGCAAGCCUGUUUGGGUGACUGUUUCUGUGCUGUGGCCAUUUUCAGAGAUGGGGACUGCUGGAUGAAGAAAGUCCCUCUCUCAAAUGGGAGGUAUGAUCUUAGCAAUGAAAGAAGAGCUAUGAUUAAAGUGAGGAAGGAUAAUUCUACCUUGCCACCCAUAGAUGAAGGUUCGAAGGGGAAGGAUCAGUCAACUUUGAUCCUCACUGGAUCGGUGCUGCUCAGUAGCUCAGCGUUCUUUAACUUUCUCUUCCUCCUAGCAAUUGUUCUGUUCAUCCGCCGCUGCAAGCACAGAAAAACAAGUGUUCUUCAGACAUCCCCAGCCAUGGAGGGAACAAAUCUCCGGAGCUUCACUUACGAAGAGCUAGAAGAAGCCACCAAUGGAUUCAGAGAUGAACUGGGGAGCGGGGCUUUUGCAACAGUUUACAAAGGGGCUCUACCCCAUGAUGAUGGAAUCAAUUUGAUUGCAGUGAAAAAGCUGGAGAGGAUGGAGAAAGAAGGAGACAAGGAAUUUGGGGCAGAAGUGAAAGCAAUUGGCCGGACAAAUCACAAGAACCUAGUCCAACUCCUGGGGUACUGCAACGAGGGGCAACACCGGCUUCUAGUAUACGAGUUCAUGAGCAAUGGUUCUUUGGCAACCUUCCUAUUUGGAAAUUCAAGGCCAGAUUGGUGUAAAAGAACACGGAUCAUCCUAGGAACUGCAAGAGGGCUCUUGUACUUGCAUGAGGAGUGCAGCACCCAGAUCAUACACUGUGACAUCAAGCCUCAAAACAUACUUUUAGAUGACUUUUUAACAGCAAGGAUUUCAGAUUUUGGGCUAGCCAAGCUUUUGAAGACGGAUCAGACGCGAACCAUGACUGGAAUCAGGGGAACCAAAGGGUAUGUUGCGCCUGAAUGGUUCAAGACAGUGCCUGUUACAGCCAAGGUUGAUGUUUACAGCUUUGGGAUUGUGUUGCUAGAGAUCAUUUUCUGCAGGAAGAACUUCGAACCCGAUGUAAGGGAUGAAAGUCAGAUGAUCCUGGCUGAUUGGGUGCAAGACUGCUACAAAGAGAAGAGAUUGGAUUUGCUGGUAGGAAAUGAUGAAGAGGUAUUUGGUGAUAUGGAGAAACUGGAGAAGUUUGUGAUGAUAGCAAUAUGGUGUACGCAGGAGGAUCCAUCUCGAAGACCCACCAUGAAGAAAGUUGUGCAAAUGCUAGAAGGAGCUGCUGAAGUUUCUAUUCCUCCAGACUCAUCUUUCUCAUCUGCCAGUAGUUCAAUCUAAUGCUAAUUUCCAUUUGGGUAUGUAUUUUCGGUUACUGUUCAGUGACAAACAAAGGAGACAGUUAUGUUGUGCUCCUAGCAUAUGAAUAAUCCAUAUGGUUUUGGAUCAUUUUUUACAUCAACCUCUGCUCAUCUCUCAAUUCAAAUUAUUAUUCCCUUUGAAGAAGUUAAAUUUUGGCUAUUUUUAUCCAAUCAAUAGUUAUUUACGAACUAGCAACAAAAAUAACAGUCACUAAGAGUUCAUUUGAUAGUGUUUUUAAAAAUUACUUUUAGCCUAAAAAGGGUUUUUGACAAAAUUUAUGAAACUCUUAAAAAUUUUAAAAAUUAUUUAAGGUAUUAAAAAAUCACUUGUAGUGUUUUUUUUAGAAAUACUUAGAACCCGUUUAGUAGUAAUACUAGAAAGCGCUUUUAAUAUUUUUAAUACCUGAAAAUUUUCAUCAUUCAAAUGAUAGAAAUACUAGAAACGUUUUCUAAAAUCACUCCCAAAUGCAUUCUUAGAUUAAAAAGUAUAUAAUUUGAUUAAAUAAAUACCAUGGUUAAGAAAAGAAACAACUUAACUCUUACUACAUCAUGCAAUAUUUGGCAUAACCAAUUUUUUUGACUUCCAUUAACCUCUUUGUAUAUGCUCAAUAAGAUGGCAUCACUUGAAUCACCUUCUACCUAUAGGUUAAAGAUAAGAAAAUGUUAGUGUACUAAUUGAUACCUAUCGAACUUAUCAUCCCAACCAUCCAAACUGUAUGAUGAAAUCUAAGUUAAUGAAUAUAGAUGCAAAUAAUGGGAUUAAAGUACAAAAGAAUGGAAUUGCAUAUAAACAAUGAGAUCAAUAUUAUAUAAAAGAAUGUGACCAAAAUACAAAGCAAUGUUUGGACUUGGACAUAAAACAAUGAAACCCAGUUGUGCACAUGGCACAUUAUAAUUGGUUUUGUUUUUCGGUACAUACCAAUUCGAUAUUGUAGUGAGACCCUUAAAUAUAUCCAUGACCUUUGCCUUAUAAUUUUAUGUGUGAUAUCUAAGAAAUGUGUAAUUUGAUUUGAUAAGAAGGGAAAGUUUUCUAUGCCUUAUGGGAGUAGCAUAUGGAUUAGCCUUAUCACAAAAUUAUGUGGUAUAUAAGAUGUGUUUUAUAGACUUGAAAUUGCAGGAAAAGGUAACCCACAAGGAGUUCUUUAGUGAAAGUACCAUGGCAACCUCAUGGAGUGGAAAAAGCUAUAUUAUAGUUAUCCUAGGCUUUUCAUAGGUUUACUCUUAUAAAUUAGAAGGAGAAGUUCUUUUUUUUUGCUUGCAGGGAAGGGGAUGUAAUACUUGGUUAUUAAAAAAUGUUAAUUUUUAUGCUUAAUGUUAAUUAGAUUGAAUUUAGAUAUUAAAACUAGUUUAAGGUUGAUAAUUUUAAUUAUAAGUUAGACCCAAUUUAAUGCUAAUUAUAAUUAAUUGAUGGCUUAAGUUUGUGUGUUAAGGAUGUGGGGCCUAAUUACAAUUAUGAGAACUUUAAAAGGAUGGACCAUUUAAGAAAUCUUAAAAAGUAAAAAGUAGGGGACUUCAAUGUAAAAAAUAAGUUGGUUUGUAUUAGCUCUAGGGCAUUGCUCCAAAAGUAUUUAAGAAACUAACAACUAUAAUAAGAAGUCUUACUUAGAAGAAGUCUUGCUAAAUUUAAAGAUAAAAAUUUUUAGAAAAGUAAUUGUAAUUAGAUUGGUUAAAUAAAUUCCACGCCAUCUAUGUCAUGUCAAAUUUUGUAUGUUGACCCAUUUUCUUGUGUGCAAAUAUUAUUAUUUUGAAUUUAAUGUUUGUAUAACUUUAAAACAUGUUUACAUAGUUAAAAUGAGUCCGUUAUAUAUAAAAUAUAAAAGACUUCUCUUCCUAGUUGAUAUGGUAUCUCAUCAAUCACCCUCUCUCUCGUGCAUAUAUGACUUUCUUGUUACAUUCCAUGGUACAAAAUUCAUACAUUAAGAAGUUGAUCAUUGUAGGUGGUAUCGUGCAAUGGCAUGGGACAUGAUGAGGUCAUCAUUUAGGCUAUAAGAACUCAUUUAGAUAUGGGAUGAUUAUGAGAACUUAUUUAGGUUAUAAGGAAAAGUUCUUGACAAUUUAUAUACAAUGUGUUCCUCUAAACUAUAUAAACAUAUUUUAAAACAACUAGGUUAUUUAAGGUUUGAACUUGAAGAAGACGAUAUUUGUACAAAAGGAAGAGUGUCAUUACAAAUUGAAUACCUCAUUAAAUUUGGAAAUUUAAAAUCUAUUUGUCCUCAUUUUGUCCACAUAGGACAAGACAAGAACAUUUUGUCCAUAUAUGUGAAUGAUUAUGAGAUCCAAUGUCAUGUGCGACACAUGACCAAAAGUUUCUAAUAUUCCAUAUAUAGUGAGAUCUCCUUAUUUGUGUUGAUGUGUUUUAAAACUUCGAGAUCCAUAGACAUUAAGUCCGAGACACAAAUCAAAGCAAUCCUUCAUCAAAUGUGGGAGUGUAUAAAAGCUAAUCCUCCACAUAUGGAAGUUUGUCCAAUCCUACAAUUCCAUAGGAUAUGAGAGUUUGUUUGGGAGGGUUAGAGGAAAUAGUUGUGAGAUCUUAUAUUGGUUAUUUAGGGAGAUAUAAUAUUUUAUAUAUGGUAGACUUUUUUUUAGCCAUAUAGACGUAUUUUAAAUUCACACAGACCUUAAGCUUAGAGCAGAUGAUAUUUAAAUAUAAAGGAUAUAUUCAUUACAAAUGGUAUUAUAGUUAGAUAUAAAAGUCUUUUUUAUUGGUCUUGUGGGAUCCCAUAUUAGUUAGGAAGAGAAGUUCUUGACACUUCAUAUGUAGAGAACUCCUUUUGAUCAUAUAUAGAUGUGUUUUCAAGCCAUGCAAGCCUUAAGUUGAUAACAGUCAAUAUCUACCAAGAGCAUAUUAUUACAAAUUGUUUUUUAGUGAAUUUUUAGACAAGUUGAAUCUAACCUUAGAAAGAAUUAGAUCGGCAGAAUUAUUUGACAUUUAAAUUUGAUUUAAGUUUAUGGUAAAUGGAGUUAAUCAAGAGCAAGAAUGAGCAAACUCCACUUGUUAUUACAUCAUUGUUGGACAACCCUACCUCAGAUGCCCAUACACCCCCUAUGCUCUGUUCCCAUUGUUUGAGAUCUGAGAGCAGGGAAGCUUGGCCAUAUUGCAAGGGGCCUGUACCAUCGCCCAGCUGCAUGCUACAGAAAACAUGUGCCACGACCAUGGAACACUCACUGAAUUUGUGCAGAGUUGUAUAGUUUUUGCUACCUUGCUGCUAGAGAACAGUUCCUUGUAUAUCCAAUUUCUGUAUGAAAUUGUGGAAUCCCAAGAAAAGAAAAUGGAGAAAUUCAGUUCAAUUUGGAAAAGUCAGACUUCUAGAAGAGUCGAACAACUUAGGGAAUGAAAAUCUUAAAAUUCAAUGCAGAAAGGUUUGGAAAAGUUAUUAGCCAUGUCUGAAGUAUAUUUUUGACAUUGUCAAUGCCCCUGAAGUAUAUUUUUGAAGUCUAUGAACUAUUUUGACCGGAAGCCACCUUAAUAAACUCUACAAGACCAAUUCAUAAGGCAUUUUGUUGAGGUUAGAAAUUUCCUCAACAGCGCAUAGAUUAAUCUGUGUUGAUGCUUGUUCCAACCAUUCUGGAUGGCGGUCAAGGUUAAGGGAUCAGCCAACAAGGCUUAUAUCAUACCCUAAUCAAUCUCUAGUUGCGUAAUUUUCAAUUUCGGUUCAUUUUUUUAUCAGUUUAGUUGGGUGCAACAAAGUCACUUUUGAACUUGAGAAUGGAUCAUUCCAAUGACAACUCUUAGAACAAUCUAUAGGAUAUGAUGUUAAAUGUUAAUAAAAAGUUAACUUCUGGAUACCAAUUGACUUCCAUGAUCCUAGAAUUCAUAUCAGAGUCAAGGAUUAUGAUUCAAGUCAUGAGAGCAUCAUGUUAAGAUGCAGCAACAUCACUUUAGGGAUAGAUCACCCAAAACUCUUAAAACAAACUUAUGUGGUAUGAUGUUGAAUGCUAUAAAAAGUUUGGCCUAUAUUAACCUAUAGGUUUUUCGAAUGAGAUGAUCAAAACCCCUGAUCCAACAAUUGAUAUUAGAGCCGAGAGUCACGGUCAAGUCAUGGGAGUGUCAUGUUGGUGCACAAUAAUGCUGCUACAGAAUGAUGACUCACUCAAACGACAACUCUUAGAACAGGUCUAGAGGGCACGAUGUGAAAUAUCUUAAAAAGAAUUGCUGGCCUACCUCACUGGCAAUUGGGUUUCAGCCAGAAAUGCUUCUGUUGCGUACUCUGCAUUAAUGUCCCCAUCCAAGGGUGGUUCAGCACAACAAGCAAUCCAUAAACAAAGCAAGUAAAUACAUUCUAACUCUAAAAAAUCAAAGUUUGAAAUCAAGUAAAUACAUGGCAGCUUCAAGUCGAAGAAAGUUUGGAAUCAUUAGGAGACUGAUUAUUAGAACAAGUCAAUGGAAGAAAACAAAUUGAAAACCAUCUAUAAAAUUUUCAAGCACACCUGAACAAAAUGGAGAUUUCAUCAUUUCUCUAGUGAUUUACAAUCUAGAGAUUUUGGCUUAAAUUCUUGAAGUUCACGUCUUUGUAAUUUUAUCUUCCUGCAAUGAAAACUGCAGUACCUUAUUGUCUCUGCUGGUUGCCUCUCCUCCUCCUCCUCCUCCUCCUCCUGCUGCUGCUCCCAGCGUCGGUUGUUGCUCAAGCUUACAGUAACAAAACUCUGGGCUCGUCCCUCACAGCAGGAGACAAUGAAUCUUGGGCAUCAGAGUCUGGCGAAUUCGCUUUUGGAUUCCAAGAGAUUGGAACUGGGGGUUACUUGCUGGCUGUUUGGUUCAACAAGAUAUCUGAAAAGACGGUAGUUUGGUCAGCCAAUGGGGGUAAUCUAGCGAAAAAGGGAUCCAAAGUUCAACUUACUAGUGAUGGAAGUUUUGUGCUGAACGAUCAGGAAGGUGAAAAGAUAUGGCCGGUUGAUUCUACGAUUACUGGUGUGGCCUAUGCAGCCAUGCUCGACAGUGGAAACUUCGUGCUGGCAAGGCAGGAUUCCAUGAAUUUGUGGGAGAGUUUUGAUAAUCCAACAGAUACGAUAUUGCCCACACAGGCAAUGAAUCAAGGCAGCAAGCUGCUUGCUCGUUUAUCAGAAACGAAUUACUCAAGUGGAAGAUUCAUGUUUACACUAGAAUCUACUGGAAAUCUGGCGAUGUACACCACUAAUUUCCCACAGGAUUCUGAAAAUUUUGCUUACUGGUCAUCAAAGACUACUGGCAGUGGCUUUCAAGUGAUUUUCAACCAGUCUGGUUCCAUCUACCUUAUGGCGAGCAAUGGAAGCAAACUUAUGGAUGUGCUCACAAAUGAAGCUUCAACAGAAGACUACUACCAGAGAGCAAUUCUUGAAUAUGAUGGAGUUUUCAGACAAUAUGUCUACCCAAAGUCUUCUGGCUCAAGUGCUGGGAGGCCUAUGGCAUGGUCCUCUUUAACCUCGUUUGUGCCUGACAAUAUCUGCACAAGUAUCAGGGCAGAGACAGGCAGUGGAGCUUGUGGCUUCAACAGCUACUGCACAAUGGGAAAUGAUGACAGACCAUACUGUCAGUGCCCUCCUGGUUACACCUUCUUGGAUCCACAAGAUGAUAUGAAUGGAUGCAAACAGAACUUUGAACCAGAGAGUUGCAGUGAAGAAUCACAAGAGAAGGGUCUGUUUGGUUUUGAAGAGAUGACGGAUGUGGACUGGCCGCUGUCAGAUUAUGGGCAUUUUACAGAAGUAACAGAGGAUUGGUGCAGACAAGCUUGCUUGGAUGAUUGUUUUUGUGAUGUUGCCAUUUUUGGAGAUGGGGGGGAUUGUUGGAAGAAGAGAACCCCUCUCUCAAAUGGGAGGACUGAGUCUAAUAAUGGACGAAGAAUUCUGAUUAAAGUACGGAAGGACAAUUCUACUUCGGAACCCAGAAAUGAAGGUAAAAAAGAUCAGUCAACUUUGAUCAUCACAGAAUCUGUGCUGUUAGGUGGCUCUGUUUUUCUGAAUUGCCUCCUCCUCCUAGCAGCUUUUAUUAAGAGAAAGUCAAAGACUCUUCAGCCACACCAGGCCAUGGUGGGGGCAAAUCUAAAAACUUUCAGUUACAAGGCGCUAGAAGUGGCUACUAAUGGCUUCAAGGAUGAGCUGGGAAGGGGAGCUUUUGCAACAGUUUACAAAGGGGCUCUACCCCAUGAUGAUGGAAUCAAUUUGAUUGCAGUGAAGAAGCUGGAGAGGAUGGAGAAAGAAGGAGACAAGGAAUUUGGGGCAGAAGUGAAAGCAAUUGGCCGGACAAAUCACAAGAACCUAGUCCAACUCCUGGGGUACUGCAAUGAGGGGCAACACCGGCUUCUAGUAUACGAGUUCAUGAGCAAUGGUUCUUUGGCAACCUUCCUAUUUGGAAAUUCAAGGCCAGAUUGGUGUAAAAGAACACGGAUCAUCCUAGGAACUGCAAGAGGGCUCUUGUACUUGCAUGAGGAGUGCAGCACCCAGAUCAUACACUGUGACAUCAAGCCUCAAAACAUACUUUUAGAUGACUUUUUAACAGCAAGGAUUUCAGAUUUUGGGCUAGCCAAGCUUUUGAAGACGGAUCAGACGCGAACCAUGACUGGAAUCAGGGGAACCAAAGGGUAUGUUGCCCCUGAAUGGUUCAAGACAGUGCCUGUUACAGCCAAGAUUGAUGUUUACAGCUUUGGGAUUGUGUUGCUAGAGAUCAUUUUCUGCAGGAAGAACUUCGCACCCGAUGUAAGGGAUGAAAGUCAGAUGAUCCUGGCUGAUUGGGUGCAAGACUGCUACAAAGAGAAGAGAUUGGAUUUGCUGGUAGGAAAUGAUGAAGAGGCAUUUGGUGAUAUGGAGAAACUGGAGAAGUUUGUGAUGAUAGCAAUAUGGUGUACUCAGGAGGAUCCAUCUCGAAGACCCACCAUGAAGAAAGUUGUGCAAAUGCUAGAAGGAGCUGCUGAAGUUUCUAUUCCUCCAGACUCAUCUUUCUCAUCUGCCAGUAGUUCAAUCCAAUUCUAAUUUCCAUUUGGGUAUGCAUUUUUGGUUACUUUUUAGUGACAAAUAAAGGAGACAGUUAUGUUGUGCUCCUAGCAUAUGAAUAAUCCAUAUGGUUUUGGAUCAUUUUUUACAUCAACCUCUGCUCAUCUCUCAAUUCAAAUUAUUAUUCCCUUUGAAGAAGUUAAAUUUUGGCUAUUUUUAUCCAACCAUUUAUUAUACAUAAAUGACUUAAAUCAAUGGUUAUUUGCGAACCCACAACAAUAACAAGUCAUUAAGAGUUCAUUUGAUAGUGCUUUUUAAAAAUACUUUUAAGCUUAAAAAGCAUUUUUAAAGAAAAAUAGGGUAUUUGACAAAAUUUAGAAAACACUUUAAAAAAUCAUUUAUGGUAAUAAAAAAUCACUAAUAAUAUUUUUUGGAGAAACGCUUGACUGAAAAGUAUAUGACUUGAUUAAAUAAAUACCAUGGCUAAGAAAAGAAACAUUUUAACUCUUACUAUAUACUGCAAUAUUUGGCAAAACCAAAGUUUUUGCCUUCCAUUAGCCUCUCUCCAUUUUACAUAUACUUAAUAAGAUGGUAUUGGUCGAAUCACCUUUUACCUAUAGGUUAAAGAUAAUAAAAUGUUAGGGUACUAAUUGAUGCCUAUGAAACUUAUUAUUCGAACUGUCCAAAUCGUAUAAUAAAAUCUAAGUCAAUGAAUAUGGAUACAAAUAAUGGAAUUAAAGUACAAAAGAAUGGAAUUGUAUAUAACCAAUGAGAUCAAUAUUGAAUAAAAGAAUGUGAUCAAAAUGCAAAGCAGUGUUAUGCUCAAGCUAACAUAUAAAUAAUCCAUAUGGUUUUGGAUCAUUAUCUACCUUCACUCAUCUCUCAUAUCAUUAUCCACAGUUUUGUUAAAUUCUGACCAUCAAGAUGACCCAAAUCAAUGUGCAUUUUUAGCACCCACAACAAAAGUCAUUAGUUUCAAUAGUAGGUUGCAGUUUGUAAAAGAUACCUAAGAGAUGUACAAUCCCCUAAAUUUGCUAUUUAAACCCAUGGUGGCGAAAGAAGUUCGCAUACAAAAAGAAAAAAAUGUAUCUAUUUUGCUCUAUGCUAGACUAAAUAGUAUAACUUGAUUAAAUAAAUAUGAUAAUUAAGUAAACAGAUGGCUUAACUCUAAACAAGGUCCAAUAUUUGGCAAAAUCAAACUAUCUGACUUCCAUUAACCUCUCUCUCCAUAGUCCAUAUUAUAUGUGCUCUACAAGAUGAUAACAAUUGAAUUACCUUCAUAAGGAAAAUGCUAGGGUAUAAGUCAAUAGCUAUUGAACUUGCCAUUCCAAUAGUCCAAGAUGCAUGAUGAUAUGUAGGGUACAAAAGAAUUAAAAUAUAUUAGGAUCAACUCAUAAAAUAAUGACAUCAAGAUAUGAUGAAACGAAUUUGGGUAUGAAGCAAUAAGGCCUAAUUGUUCAUGUGACACAUUAUGAUUGAUCCUACUUUUCAAUAUUUAUUGAUUCAAUACUAUAGCAGAACCCUCCAAUAUAUCUAUGAUCUCUACCAUAUAAUUUUAUGUGUGAUAUCUAAGAAAUGUGUACUUUGAUCUUAGAAGAAGUGAGUUUUUUUCCAAGCUGCAUUGAGUAACUUGAGAUUCUCAUAUCCAAGUAGCAUAGAGAGUAGCCUUACCACAAAAUUAUAUGGUCUAUAUGACGUGUUUUAUGUGUUCUAAUAUAUUUCAAAUGACUUGGUUUUGUGUGGCUUGAACUUGCAAGAAAAGGUAAUGUAUAAGGAGGGACAUAUGUAGAUUUUGGAUGGAAAGUAACAAAUAUUGUAACUAAGGUUAUUUCUUUGGUGGAAGUACCAUAGCAAUCUCAUGGAGUGGAAAAAGAUAUAUCAAAGUUGUCCUAGGCUUUUUAUACUUUUAUUCUUUUAAAUUAGAAGGACAAAAUUUUUGUUAGGGGAGGGGAUGUGAUAUUUGGUUGUAAAAAAUGUUAAUUUUUAUGCUUAAUGUUGCCUUUAAUUAGAUGUUAAAACUGGUUUAAGGUUGAUCAUGGUUAGGCCUAAUUUAAGAUUAGUUAUAAUUAAUUGAUGACUUAAGUUUAUGUGUUGGGAUGAUUGACCUAAUUACAAUUAUGAGAACUUGAAAAGAUGAAUUAUUUAGGAAGUCUUAAAAGUAAAAAGUGGGGACUUCAGUGUAAAAAGUAAGUUUUGUAGUAGCUCUACAGCAUUGGCACCUAAAACUUUCUCUGCAGAGUAUUUAAGAAGCUAAUAAUUUUUAUAAGUCUUGCUUUAGAAGAAGACUCACUAAUUCUUAAGUAAUAAAAUUAUCAUUAAAAUUGUGGAAUCCCAAGAAAAGAAAAUAGAGAGAUUCAGUCCAAUUUGGAAAAGUCAGACUUCUAGAAUUCAAUGCAGAAAGGUUUGGAAAAGUUAUUAGCCACGUCUGAAGUAUAUUUUUGACAUUGUCAAUGCCCCUGAAGAACAGUCUUUUAUUUAUUAUAUUCAAAAAUCUUGAAGUCUAAGAACUCUUUUGACCAGAAGCUACCUUAAUAAACUCUACAAGACUAAGUCAUAAGCAAUUUGUUGAGGUUAGAAAUUUCGUCAACAGCACAUGGAUUAAUCUGGUGUUGAUGCUUGUUGCAAGCAUUCUGGAUGGCCGUCAAGGUUAAGGGAUCAGCCAACAAGGCUUAUAUCAUACUCUAAUCAAUCUCUAGUUGUGUAAUUUUCAAUUUUGGUUCAUUUUUAUCAGUUUUGUUGGGGUGCAACAAAGUCACUUUUAAACCCGGAUGGAUCAUUCAAAUAACAACUCUUAGAACAACUUGUAGGAUAUGAUGUCAAAUGUCAAUAAAAAGUUUGAAUUAUUGAUACUAACUGACUUUCAUGAUCCUAGAAUUCAUAUCAGAGUCGAGGAUCAUGAUUCAAGUCAUGGAGCAUCAUGUUAAGAUACAACAACGUCAAUUUGGGGGUAGACCACCCAAAUGACCGAAUCUUAAAAUAAACUUAUGUGGUAUGAUGUUGAAUGCUAUAAAAAGUUUGACCUACAUUAACACCAAUUGGUUUUUCAAAUGAGAUGAUCAAAAUCCCGGAUCCAACAAUUGAUAUUAGAACUGAGAGUCAUGGGAGUGUCAUGUUGGGGUGCAACAAUGCUGCUACAGGAUGACUCACUCAAACAGACAACUCUUAGAACAGGCCUAGAGGGUACGAUGUGGAAUAUCUUGAAAAGAAUUGCUGGCCUACCUCACUGGCAAUUGGGUUUCAGCUAGAAAGGAUUCUGUUGCGUACUCUGCAUUGAUGUCCCCAUCCAAGGGUGGUUCAGCACGACAAGCAAACCAUAAACAAAGCAAGUAAAUACAUUCUAACUCUGAAAAAUCAAAGUUUGAAAUCAAGUAAAUACAUGGAAGCUUCCCCCACAAUUUCAGUAGACAGUGACACAAAUGUCAAAGACUCAGGCGGUGUUUAUUUUUUUACUUAAUUCUAAAUAGAACCUUAAUACUUAAUAGUAUUAAAUAUUAGGUUGUUUGUUUUUUAGUAUUUUAUUUCUAUUAAGUAUUAAAAAGUAAAAAAAAUCAUUAUGUUAUUUUUUCUAUUUAGAAAAAACCACAUAUUUUGGCUUUUUCUAUUUAGUAAAAAGUUUAUAAUAAGUCAUGAAAAAGUAAAAAAACAAACAACCUAAAUUCUAAAACUAAAUGGUUUUCAGUAAAAAGCCAAAAAAACAAACACCACCUCAGUCUAAGAAAGUUUGGAACCACUAGGAGACUGAUUAUUAAAACAAGUCAAUGGAAGACAACAAACUGAAAACCCUCUAUAAAAUUUUCAAGCACAUCUGAACAAAAUGGAGAUUUCAUCAUUUCUCUAACGAUUUAGAAUCUAAUAGAUUUUCGCUUAAAUCCUUGAAGUUCAUGUCUUUGUAAGCUUAUCUUCCUGCAAUGAAAACUGCAGUACCUUAUUGUCUCUGCUGGUUGCCUCUCCUCCUCCUCCUCCUCCUCCUGCUGCUGCUGCUCCCAGCGUCGGUUGUUGCUCAAGCUUAUAGUAACAAAACUCUGGGCUCAUCCCUCACAGCGGGAGACAGUGAAUCUUGGGCAUCAGAGUCUGGCGAAUUCGCUUUUGGAUUCCAAGAGAUUGGAACUGGGGGUUACUUGCUGGCUGUUUGGUUCAACAAGAUAUCUGAAAAGACCGUAGUUUGGUCAGCCAAUGGGGGUAAUCUAGUGAAAAAGGGAUCCAAAGUUCAACUUACUAGUGAUGGAAAUUUUGUGCUGAAUGAUCAGGAAGGUGAAAAGAUAUGGCCGGUUGAUUCUACGAUUACUGGUGUGGCCUAUGCAGCCAUGCUCGACAGUGGAAACUUCGUGCUGGUAAGGCAGGAUUCCAUUAAUUUGUGGGAGAGUUUUGAUAAUCCAACAGAUACGAUAUUGCCCACACAGGCACUGAAUCAAGGCAGCAAGCUUGUUGCUCGUUUAUCAGAAAAGAAUUACUCGAGUGGAAGAUUCAUGUUUAAGCUACGGUCAAAUGGAAGUCUGACGAUGUACACCACUGAUUUUCCACAGGAUUCUGAAAAUUUUCCUUAUUGGUCAUCACAGACUACUGGCUUUCAAGUGAUUUUCAACCAGUCCGGUUCCAUCUACCUUAUGGCGAGGAAUGGAAGCAAACUUAUGGAUGUGCUCACAAAUGAAGCUUCAACAGAAGACUACUACCAGAGAGCAAUUCUUGAAUAUGAUGGAGUUUUCAGACAAUAUGUCUACCCAAAGUCUGCUGGCUCAAGUGCUGGGAGGCCUAUGGCAUGGUCCUCUUUAACCUCGUUCGUGCCCAAGAAUAUCUGCAAAAGUAUCAGGGCAGAGAUAGGCAGUGGAGCUUGUGGCUUCAACAGUUACUGCACAAUGGGAAAUGAUGACAGGCCAUACUGCCAGUGCCCUCCUCGUUACACCUUCUUGGAUCCACAAGAUGAUAUGAGUGGAUGCAAACAGAACUUUGUACCAGAGAGUUGCAGUGAAGAAUCACAAGAGAAGGGUCUGUUUGGUUUUGAAGAGAUGACAGAUGUGGACUGGCCGCUGUCAGAUUAUGGGCAUUUUACAAAAGUUACAGAGGAUUGGUGCAGACAAGCUUGCUUGGAUGAUUGUUUUUGUGAUGUUGCCAUUUUUGGAGAUGGGGGGGGUUGUUGGAAGAAGAGAACCCCUCUCUCAAAUGGGAGGACUGAGUCUAAUAAUGGACGAACAAUUCUGAUUAAAGUACGGAAAGACAAUUCUACUUGGGAACCCAGAAGUGAAGGUAACAAAGAUCAGUCAACUUUGAUCAUCACAGAAUCUGUGCUGCUAGGUGGCUCUGUUUUUCUGAAUUGCCUUCUCCUCCUAUCAGCUUUUAUGUACAUCUUCCGUAAGAGAAAGUCAAAGACUCUUCAGCCACACCAGGCCAUGGUGGGGGCAAAUCUAAAAAAUUUCAGUUACAAGGCGCUAGAAGUGGCUACCGAUGGCUUCAAGGAUGAGCUGGGAAGGGGAGCUUUUUCAACAGUUUACAAAGGGACUCUAGCCCAUGAUAAUGGAAAAUUAGUUGCAGCAAAGAAGUUGGACAGGAUGGUGAGAGGAGUGGAGGUGGAAUUUGAAACAGAAGUGAGUGCAAUUGGCCGAACAAAUCACAAGAAUCUAGUCCAGCUCCUGGGGUUCUGCAAUGAGGAGCAACACCGGCUUCUUGUAUACGAGUUCAUGAGCAAUGGUUCUUUGGCAACCUUCCUAUUUGGAAACUCAAGGCCAGACUGGUAUAGAAGAACACAGAUCAUCUUAGGAACUGCAAGAGGGCUCUUGUACUUGCAUGAAGAGUGCAGCACCCAGACCAUACAUUGUGACAUCAAGCCUCAAAAUAUACUCCUGGAUGACUUUUUAACAGCGAGGAUUUCAGAUUUUGGGCUAGCCAAGCUUUUGAAGACGGAUCAGACUCAGACUACGACUGGAAUCAGGGGAACCAAGGGGUAUGUUGCCCCUGAAUGGUUCAAGACAGUGCCAGUUACCGCCAAGGUUGAUGUUUACAGCUUUGGAAUUGUGCUGCUAGAGCUCAUUUUCUGCCGGAAGAACUUUGAACCAGCAGUGGAGGAUGAAAAUCAGAUGGUAUUAGCUGAUUGGGCAUAUGACUCCUACCUAGAAAGGAAACUGGAUCUAUUAGUGGAAAAAGAUCAGGAGGCACUGGAUAACAUGGAAAAGCUGGAGAAGUUUGUGAUGAUAGCAAUAUGGUGCAUUCAGGAGGAUCCAUCUCAAAGACCAACCAUGAAGAAAGUCACACAGAUGCUAGAAGGAGCCAUCGAAGUUCCUCUUCCUCCAGACCCAUCCCCAUUCUCCAAAUCAUUUCCGCAUCAACCAUAAUUGUGUCGUAGAAACUGAUUCAACAGCAAUCCUUGUAGGGUUAUUAAUUCUUCAAAUCUUUGUAGGGAUUCUUUUUUCUCUUUUCUUUUUUCUUUUUUUCCUUUUUGUUCAUCCCUCAACAUUAAGAUGAAUAAAUUCAUUCUCAUUGGCAACUCAUCAUUUUCUUGAAAAUACGUUUCAUACUGCUUUGCAUAUCAUAAUCGCAAAGUUAGAAAUUUUAAUUAUUAAGAUGUGUAUGUGCCGUGGGCACACAUCAACCCACAAAUACAAAUCAAGAAUGUCAUGACUUUUGAACAUAGAGUGAGUCUACAGCAUAAACAAGUACCAACAUUUCAUAAGCCAAUUGUCCAAAUGACUUAUCAAAAGAACAAAAUAGAAGUUCAUAUAAUCCCAAUGAGGGAAACUUUUUGGGUUUAAUUUUCAUAUCAGUGCCAAUAAACACAGCUGUCUCAAAAGCUUUAGCUGUUAAGAAAUCACCAACAAUGUAAAGAAAGCUUAAACUGUUGUCCUUAGCCAUACAUAGGGAAAGAAAAGAGAGUUUUUCUUUGUGAGAUUCAAAGCACUCCUGGCAGCAUUGGGAUGAAUUGGUCAAAAAACUACAGAUAUCAGGAAGAAGAAUAACUCUAUUCAUCUAGAAACUUUGUUAUAAUAUGUGAUUUGCCAAGCAUCAUCCUACUAUUCAAAUUACCUCGAAUUGUAUACCAAGAAAGUAUUACUUCUUCAAAAUUGUAAAGCAUACGGAUGAGACCUUCUAGAUUUUGUCGAACCUUAUGUCUGCCAGUUAUUAUUUAAGUUGAUGUAUGCAGUUGAUGUUAGGCACUUAGCUCUUCCUUGUUGAAGAAAAUUGUCCUUGGUCACUGAUACUGCCAAAAAUAAACACCUUUGAAACGCAUGCUAUUCAAAAUACAUUCAACCAUAAUCAAGCACCUAAAACACCUUUAUGUAAAAGAAGCACUUAGGAUUAAGGUCUUCCAUAAGAGAUGACCUUCAAUCAGCACCAGCUGGCUUUCCACUUUUUGGCCGCUAAUGGCCAAAGUCAACAAUGGCAGCAGAAGGUUAGCUGGAUACCCCCAUAGGAAAACUCUCUAAACCCUGAAGCCCAUUUCUUUAUUAAGAAACCUCCUUUGAAUCCUUUGAAUCUAGAAAUGGUGGAACCAAAAUUUUCAAUUAUUCCUGAAGAUUUUUGAGCAUCUUCAGUCACCAUGGCUGUUGCACUGCCUUUUGCUCUUUCCCUCAUGCUAUUGUCUCUGCUGCCAUAUCACACCCAUGCUCAAACUUACAGCAAUGUGACUCUGGGGUCAUCCCUCACUGCAGAGGGCAACAAUUCUUUUUGGGCUUCACCAUCUGAUGAAUUUGCUUUCGGGUUCCAACAGAUCAGAAAUGAAGGUUUCUUGCUGGCUAUUUGGUUCAACAAAAUACCUGAAAAGACAAUAGUCUGGUCGGCCAAUGGCAAUAAUCUAGUGCAAAGAGGAUCCAGAGUUGAACUCGCCACUGGUGGCCAGUUUGUGCUCAAUGACCCAGAAGGGAAACAGAUAUGGAAUGCCGUUUAUGCCAGUAAAGUCAGCUAUGCAGCUAUGCUAGAUACUGGAAACUUUGUGCUGGCAAGCCAAGAUUCAAUCUAUUUGUGGGAGAGUUUUGAUCAUCCAACAGACACUAUACUACCCACACAGAUGCUGGAUCUAGGCAGCCAACUUGUUGCCAGAUUCUCAGAAAAAAAUUACUCAAAUGGAAGAUUCCUGCUCAUAUUACAAGCUGAUGGAGAUCUCAUUCUUUACACUACAGCUUUCCCAACAGAUUCUGUAAAUUUUGAUUAUUGGUCAACUGGAACUCUGGGCAGUGGCUUUCAGUUGAUUUUUGACCAGUCUGGCUACAUUAAUCUUGUCACGAGGAACGGAAACAAACUUUCUGUAUUAUCAUCAAAUACAGCUUCAACAAAAGAUUUUUAUCAGAGAGCAAUUCUUGAAUAUGAUGGAGUCUUCAGGCACUAUGUCUACCCAAAGUCAGCAGACUCUAGUAGAGAGAAGUGGCCCAUGGCCUGGUACCCCUUGUCAUUCAUACCUGAAAAUAUCUGCAUGAGUAUUACAACAAGUACAGGCAGUGGAGCUUGUGGGUUCAACAGCUACUGUGAACUAGGAGAUGAUCAGAGACCAAACUGCAAGUGCCCACCUGGUUACAGCUUCUUGGAUCCAGAUAACACAAUGAGUGGAUGCAAACAGAACUUUGUGACACAAAACUGUGAAAAAGCAUCACAAGAAAAGGAUCAGUUUUAUCUUGAAGAGAUGAUUAAUACAGACUGGCCUCUUGCUGAUUAUGAAUACUUUCGACCAGUGACUGAGGAUUGGUGCAGAGAAGCCUGCCUUGGGGACUGUUUCUGUGCUGUUGCCAUUUUUAGAAAUGGUAAAUGUUGGAAGAAGAAAAUCCCUCUCUCAAAUGGGAGGAUUGAUCCUAGUGUUGGGGGCAAAGCUCUUAUCAAAACAAGGAUUUGAACCUCCUUAUCAGUUAAACUUAAACCCUUCCAUAUGAAUAUGUACUGUGUAUUGUUUGUAUUUUCUAUUGUUGCUACUCUUAUUCUAUAUGAUAGUUAAUAAAGCAAUGGUGCAUUUAAAAUAACCAUUCAGCCAAGUAUGCCUAAGACAAAAGGAACAGCUAUCUCAUGUGUUCAACAUUUUGUCUAUAUUAUAUAUUGAAACCCGAUAUACAGGUUACUAAUAAGAUCAAGAAUGAUGUUUGUGCUUGAAGAAAUUCAGACCUUGAAUGAAAGCCAACAACACCUUACAUUAGUAGUGAGAGAAGAAUAGAAAUAUGUAACUGCAGCACACUUGACAGAAAAGAACCUUACUCCAAACAAUAACUCAAAUUGGCAAGCACAGAUAGGUCAGGUAAAACUACAGAUGACAGUUCUUUUCAGAAACUCUACUUCUUUCAGGAAGACGAAGAAGAGAAGGGAGAUCUGAUUUUCCAGGCAUCAUCCUAGAACUCAACUUCCUAAUGUGUUUCAACCAUUCAGUGGAAUUUGGAUUCAGGCAGAGUGGCAAAUAAAGUACAGAUAACGAUGAAGUAAGUUUGGAUUUUCCUUGCAAGAUUUGAAGAAUGAUAAAAAGUUCAGACAAAAAGGUUAACAACAAUUGGUGACAUUAACAUUUAAAAGAUUGGUCUACCAAAAUCAAGCCUUUGUUGUGACUGUUAAAAAAGCGAGAUUAAAAUUAGAUUUCAAUAUCCAAUAUGUCCAUGUAAUAGGUAGAGGACUAAAAUGAAUGCUAAAUGAAACCAAGAAAGUGUCAUCCAUGUGAUGGGAAAAUUCAUUUCCUCUUCUCUUAAAACGGGGGAUUUUGUAAUUGUUUUUCAAAAAUAGAUUUCUAAAAAUAGGUAGCCAACAAAAUAUGCACUGACAUUUUAUUACAAGUUAUUUUUUAAAUUUGGCUGCAUGUGAGAGGAGCUUGUAGAUUUCAUUGAAACUUCAUUGAUGCCUCUACUAGUUUCUAUUUUAGUUAGAUAUCUGCAAUUCACCUCAGGAGCUUUAACUAGGAGAAAAAAAAGAAAGAAGCUUUUUUCUCACUAUGGCCUCUGCACUGGCUUAUCCUCUGCUCUUCAUGAUACUUUUUUCUGCUGCUACAUUCCACCAUUUUCAAACUUAGAGCAACAUAUUUUUGGGCUCAUCCCUCACUGCAAUGAACAACAGUUUCUUUCUGGCACCCCCAUCUGGUGAAUUUGAUUUCAGAUUCCAACAGAUCAGAGCUGGAGGUUUCUUGAUAGCCAGUUGGGGCAAGAAGAUACCUGAAAAGACCAUAGUUUGGUCAGCCAAUGGAAACAAUCUAGUCCAAAGAAAAUCCAAAGUUCAACUUACCACUGAUGGCUAGUUUGUGCUCCAUGACCUAAGAGGCAAGCAGGUCUGGAAUGCCGAUUGUUCCAGUACUGUCAGCUAUGCACCCAGGCUAGAUACUGGAAAACUUGGCUGCCAGACUAAGAUUCUAUCAAUUUGUGGGAGAGUUUCAAUCAACCAAUUGAGACUAUCCUACCAACUCAAAACAAUGAAUCAAGACAGCAGAUUUGUUGCAUGCUUCCCUGAAAUGAAUUACUCAAGUGGAAGACUACUGCUCAUGUUACAAGCUGAUGGAGGUACCCUCCUUUACACCACAGCUUUCCCAACAGAUUUUGUAAAUUUUGCUUAGUGGUCAACUGGAACUGAAGGCAGUGACCUUCAGUUGAUUUUCGACUAGUCUGGCUGCAUCAAUGUCAUAGCAAGGGAUGAGAGAAGCAUGAUUUUUUUUUUUUUUUUAUCAUCAAAUGCAACUUCAACUUGAAGACUUUUAAAAAAGAGCCAAUUCUUGAAUAUGAUGGAGUUUUAGGGAAACUAUCUCUACACAAAGUCAGCUAACUCAGAAAGUGAGAGGUGACCUAGAGCUUGGUUCCCAUUGUCAUUUAUACUUGAAAAAUAUCUGGAUGAGUGAUACAAAAAAUACAGGCAGUGGAGCAUGCAGGUUCCACAGCUGCUCAACGAUGAAAUGAUCAGAGACCAAAAUGUAAGUGUUUAUGACUUCUAGGAUCCAAAUAACAACAUUAGCAGAUGCAAAUCAAAUUUGUAAUACAAAAUUAUGACAAAUAAUUAGAGAAGAAGGAACAGUUUUAUCUUGAAGAAAUGAUUAAUAUAGAUUGGCUGCUUUCUGAUUAUGAAUUAUUUCAGCCAGUGACUGAGGAUUGGUGCAAAGAAGCUUGCUUGGGAGAUUGUCUUUGUGCUGCUUCCAUUUUCUGAAAUGGCAGAUGUUGGUUGCAAAGUUCUGAUUAAGAUAAGGAGCAGUUGAACUCUUUUAUCAGUUCAAGUUAAGUCCUUCCAUAAAAAUAAGUAUCAUUUGAAGGUGUGUCUUUUACUAUUUGUACUUCUCAAUGAGCAAAACGUUGUGCUUAUGGGUAUCUCAUCAUCCAUGGAUUUGAAUGUAUUACCUAAGAAUUUCUGGAACAAAAGAACAGUGGAGAAUCAAAGUAAGGAUGAAUAAAAAUGAAAUGAAUCUGGAUUAAACUCUAUAGCAAAUUGAGAAUCAGUGAUUUUUAACAACACACUCAUACCUACAUAUGAUUUCAAAAUUUAAAAGAUGAAUACAGAGUGACGACGGUAUAUCAAGAAUCAGCAACAAUUAAGAAUUGAGUAAGCUAAUUAGAUGGCAACACCAACCAAGAUUAUAAUAACUUAACCUGCAAUUGAAGCCUUCAAAUUUCCACAACUAACAUGGACCAUGUCAAGUGCUUGGACAAGAUUUUAAUUCAAUGGUUUACACUCGGUCAAACUAGAAACUACUUUUUGUCACAUAUCUCAUUUCUAGACAUCCAGAGCAUUGGAAUUUCAUGCAUUGAACAAGAAAAUAAUAGCCGGCACUUUUCUUAGCAUAUAGUUCACCUGACAUACUGAAAUAUUGAUCAUUUUUUCCACGUUCUUCCAAGGAUACAUCUUGAAGUCAUCUCUAGGACUCCAAAUCCUUUAAAUCUUGAUAGUGAAAAACUUCAGUUAUGAAGUUGUAUCAUUGAAAGUUUUAAGAUGUUAGCUAAUGGGUCAUUAAUGUAUAUGAAGUCGGCUUACUGUAUACAGUAAAUCAUCUGAGUUGACUGAAUUUUAACUCAUUGUUAGGAGCUUCAGAUUGACUCAUAGUUCAAAAUGAUGAAAGAAAGUCAAUGCCAUUUUCUUAAUAAUAUAGGACAGAUAGAGACUCAUUACCUGCAAUGAAAGCUACAAAUUUUCUAGUUAAAUGGAUGCUCAAGGAACAUUCAUCUUCAGUGGUAUAAACUUCGUUUUGAUUUCUGCAAUUCAUAUCAAAUCUUUAGCUUUUCCUUGUUUAAGAAAAUUUUCUCUUUUUACAUGGAUUUUUCACUUCCUUCUGCUUUGCCCCUCUUGAUAACUUUUCUUCUGCCAUUUUUGAGCAUUGCUCAAAUAUAUAGUAACAUAACUUUGGGAUCAUCCCUCACUGCACUGGACAACAAUUCUUUUUGGGCAUCACUUUCUGGUGAUUUCGCUUUUGGAUUCCAACAGAUUGGAGGUGGAGGUUUCUUACUGGCUAUUUGGUUCAACAAAGUACCUGAAAAGACAAUAAUUUGGUCAUCGAACCGCAAUAAUGUCGUACAAAGCGGAUCCAAAGUUCAACUUACCACUGAUGGUUUGUUUGUGCUCACUGACUCGACAGGUGAGCAGGUAUGGAUGGCUGAUCCAGCUGGUAAUGGAGUUGCUGUUGGAGAAAUUACAGGUAUGAAACUGCAAGUUAAUGAAGAAAAAGCUACAGAUAUGAUAGAGAGAAGCUGAUAAUUUUAUUCCAUUUGAGAUGAGAUAUUUAUACAAGAAAAAUAACAAAUUCUUCCUAUCUUUCCUGCAUAUUUAUUUAGGCUGUUACACCUAUUUUUGAAAUUUAAAAAAAGUCAUAACAAACUUGAGCUAAGUCGAUCUUCAAGGAUUGGAAUCUGGAAUGCCAACAACUGAACACUCUUCCUUGGCAUCUGGAUGACAAACACCUAUCUUCUGCUUAAGAGCUUCAAACCUUUCCAUUGGUAAAGGCUUUGUGAAUAUAUCUGCGAGUUGAUUUUCAGAGGAACAAUGAACAAGUAACACUUCAUUGGAUUGUUGAACUUCUCUAAUAAAAUGAUACUUGAUCUUAAUAUGCUUUGUUCGACCAUGAAACACAGGAUUUUUCGAAAUUGAUACUGCAGAAAUGUUGUCACACAUAAUGUUGGUUGCUUCAACUUGCCCUUGCCCAAGUCUUUCAGUAUUUUUCUUAACCAUAAAGCUUGAUUUACAGUAGAUGCAGCAGCAAUGUAUUCUGCCUCUGCUGUUGAUUGGGUUGUGGUUUCUUGUUUCUUUGAGCUCCAAGUGAAAAAACCUGAGCCUAAGGAGAAUAAGUACCCUGAAGUACUUCUUGAAUCAUCAACACAGCCUCCCCAAUUGCUGUCGGAGUAGCCUAGCAGCUUCAAAUCACCUUCUGCAGAUUUUGAAAAUUGAACUCCAAGAUCAAUUGUUCCCUUGAUGUACCUUAAUACACUUUUAGCUGCCAAAAAAUGUUUCUCACUUGGUGAGUGCAUGAACCUGGAAAGCACACUAACAGCAAACAAUAUUCAGGUCUGCUAGCUGUUAGGUAUAAAAGGCUACCAAUUAAGCUUCUAUAUAAGCCUUCAUCUAUUUUCUCAGAGUCGUCAUCCUUGCUUAACUUCUCGCUGGUUGUCAUAGGAGUAGACACAGGCUUGCAAUCUUGCAUUUUAAAUUUUUUCAGCAUAUCCAUAGCAUACUUCUGUUGGCAUAUGAAAAUUCUUGAACAUGACUGCAUCACUUCCAUUCCCAAAAAGUACUUCAUGCCUCCAAGAUCGGUCAUUUCAAAGACUUUGUUUAUCUCAUCCUUGAAGCUUUGAAUUAACCUGGGCUGAUUUCCUGUUACAAGCAUGUCGUCUACAUAAAGAGAGACUAUUAAAAGCUGGACAUCAUCAGUUUUUACAUAUAAGGUUGCUUCACUCUGACUUCUAACAAAACCAAGUUUAGUUAGAUGCUUGUCCAUGAUUUCAUAACAAGCCCUGGGGGCUUGUUUCAAGCCAUACAAUGCCUUCCUUAGAAGGUACACAUAGUCCUCUUUGCCUGGAGCCACAACCCCAUCUGGUUGCUCUACAUAUAUCUUUUCAUCAACAAAUCCAUUUAAGAAGGCAGAUUUAACAUCUAAUUGAUGAAUAUGCUAAGAAUUUUGAGCAGCAAGUACAAAAAGUAGCCUGAUAGUGUCAUACCUUGCCACAAGAGCAAAAGUUUCUUGAUAAUCAACACCAUAAUGUUGAGCAUAUCCCUUCACCACUAGCCUAGCUUUGUGCUUGCAUAUCGAACCAUCAGAAUUGAGUUUUGUUUUGAAAACCCAUUUCACUCCGAUCACCUUGUGAUUUUUAGGUCUCUCCACAAGCUGCCAGGUUUCAUUCUUGUUAAUCAUCUUCAAUUCUUCUUGCAUUGCUCUCCUCCAUGCUUCAGAAUCUUUGGCUUCUACAUAACUUGUUGGUUCAAUUAUUGCUAAAUUGCACCUUUGAUAGAUGUCCUCCAAGAUUCUCGUGCCCUCACUGGAAAAUCAUCUAUGGAUUUAGAAGUUUGAAAAUCUUCAUGAUUAUCGAAGCCGACAUCAGAUUGUGCAUCUUUUUUAUUUUGCCAUUCCCAAGUUGUCAUUUCAUCAAUUUUUACAUUCCUGCUCAAGACAACUUUGUUGGUUUGCAAACAAAAUAUUCUAUAGCCCUUGGUUGAUGUCCCAUAGUCAAUGAGAAUGCCCUUUUGAGCUUUGCUGUCCAACUUGCUUCUUUUAGGUUCUGGUACAUGAUAAUAGCAUAUGCUUCCAAAUAUUUUAAGAUGAUUAACUAAGGGCUUGACACCAUACCAUGCUUCAUAUGGUGUUUUGUUCUUCAAGGAUUUUGUAGGCAAUCUGUUCAGAAAAUAUACUCUGCCUAAAAAUUACUUGGCAUUUUUUUCUCAAAUAGAAGACACCUGGCCAUCUCCAUUAUGGUUCGAUUCUUCCUCUCCGAGACACCAUUUUGUUGUGGAGUGUAUGGAGUUGUUAGUUGACAUUCGUUACCUGCAGUGCUACAAAACUCAACAAAUUGACUGGAGGUAUAUUCCGAACCAUUGUUGGACCUUAAGAUUUUAAUGCUCAAGUUGCUUUGAUUUUCUACAAGGGCUUUGAAUUUUUUGAAAAUAGAGAAAACUUCAUUCUUUAGUUUGAUAAAAUAUACCCAACACAUUCUGGUAUAGUCAUCUAUAAAGAGAAUGAAGUAUUUGUUACCACUCAAAGAAGUUGUUUUCAUGGGACCACAAACAUCGGUGUGUAUGAGUUGAAGCUUUUCAGUGGCUCUCCAUGCUUGAUUAUUUUUGAGUGGCAACCUUGCUUGUUUGCCUUGUUGACAAAUCUCACAUAUUUGAGCUUCAUCAGAUACGUUUGGCAUUUUUCCACCAGCUCAAGUUUUUUAGCUCUACUAAGCUCCUUUGGUUAUAGUGUCCAAACCGUUUAUGUCAUAGGUCUGAAACACUUUGAGUAACUCCAACAUAUGCAUAUUCAGCAGCAUUCUCCCAAUUGAUGGCAAAACUCUUGCUUUUCAUCUUCAUACAAAGCAAUUUCUCUCCAUAGGGUUCAAAGAUGAUGCAUUGGUUGUCUUUGAAUUGCAGGGAAUAUUGCUUUUCAAGCAUUUGACCUACACUCAAUAGAUUUUGACUAAUAUCAGGUACAAAUAACACAUUAGAGAUGAGCUUGAUACCUGAAUUUGUUUUGACAGCAACCGUGCCCCUUCCCUUGACAUCCACGUAUCCACCAUUGCCAACUUUCACCGUAGAGUUAUAGGUUUUGUCAAGGUCCUUGAAUAUUGUAGCAUUGUGACACAUGUGGUGUGUGCAUCCACUAUCAAUGAGCCAAGCAUUAUAAGAGUCUUGACUUGAGAAACAUGAUGCUACAAAGAGUUUCUUCUCCUGAGAAUCUGCAUCAGCAACUUGUGCUUGCUGAGAUUGAGGACCUUUAUUUUUAUAUUUGCAGACUUUGUAACAUGCCCAAGCUGUUUGCAGUUGCCGCACAUUGCGUCUAGCCUCCACCAACAGUAUUUCUCUAGAUGCGUAGUCUUCUUGCAAUGUGAGCAGGUUGGAUAUUUUUUUUGUUGGGCCCCUUCUUUGCUGCUCUUCUCUCUGCUUUUACUUUUCUUCUUGCUGAACUAGUUUUUGUUUUUAUUAGAUUGUAGGGUCUGCAUUUGAAAAACACCUUCUGUGACGUUCUCUUGCCUCAAAGCUCUUCUUUGCUCUUGUGCUUGGAAUGCAUUCAUUAGUUCAGCAAGUGAAAUUUGUGAAAGGUCCCUAGAUUCUUCAAGAGAUGAAAUCUUGGACUCAAACCUCUCAAGAAGUGUCACAAGAACCUUCUCCACGAUCCUUGCAUUAGGAAAUUCUUCACCAAGCAACCUGAUUUUGUUAACAAUCAAAGCAAUUCUGUCAGAAUACUUGGUGAUAGUUUCAUCUUCUUGCAUGGUUAGAGACUCAAAGUCCCUUUUCAAAUUCAGCACUUGCAUUUGUUUGGUUCUAUCACUUCCUUGAUACUCCAAUUUAAGCUUGUCCAAGGCUUCUUUGGCUGUCCUGCAAUUCAUAAUUCUAUGAAAUACUGAGUCAGCAACUGAAUUUUGGAUUAAAUUCUUAGCUUUAAACUUUUUGGUCUUUUUGUCAGUAUGAGCUCUGAUUUGUGCUAAGGUAGGAUUCGCCGGAAGUGGAGCUAUUGGUUCGUCUUUAGCUACAACUUCCCAAAGAUCAAAUGCUUCCAGGUACGUUUGCAUCUUUACGGACCAAAUUUGAUCGCAAAGAUUUGAGGAGCUAACAAAGAGAUGCUGCUGGUUGCCAUUUUCUAGUGUGGUUUCAAAUGGGUUAUGAAGUGAACUUUCUUGGUUUUCACUCAAAAUACAGGUCCUGUAAGACCAACUGUGGCUCUGAUACCACUUGUUGGAGAAACUACAGGUAUGAAACUGGAAGUUAAUGAAGAAAAAGCUACAGAUAUGGUAGAGAGAAGCUGAUAAUUUUAUUCCAUUUGAGAUGAGAUAUUUAUACAAAAAAAUAACAAAUUCUUCCUAUCUUUCCUACAUAUUUAUUUAGGCUAUUACACCUGUUUUUGAAAUUUAAAACAAACAAAGUCAUAACAAACUUGAGCUAAUCUUCAGCAAAGACUAGUCUUCAAGGAUUGGAAUCUAGAAUGCCAACAACUGAACAGUUGCCUAUGCAGCCAUGCUUGACACUGGAAACUUUGUGCUGGCAAACCAAGAUUCUACCAACUUGUGGGAGAGUUUUGAUCAUCUGACAGACACACUAUUACCCACACAGAUGCUGAAUCAAGGCAGCAAACUUGUUGCUCGUUCCUCAGAUGUGAGUUACUCAAGUGGAAGAUUCAUGUUUGCAUUGCAAACUGAUGGAAAUCUCGUGAUGUACACCACAGAUUUUCCAAUGGGUUAUGAAGUGAACUUUCUUGGUUUUCACUCAAAAUACAGGUCCUGUAAGACCAACUGUGGCUCUGAUACCACUUGUUGGAGAAACUACAGGUAUGAAACUGGAAGUUAAUGAAGAAAAAGCUACAGAUAUGGUAGAGAGAAGCUGAUAAUUUUAUUCCAUUUGAGAUGAGAUAUUUAUACAAAAAAAUAACAAAUUCUUCCUAUCUUUCCUACAUAUUUAUUUAGGCUAUUACACCUGUUUUUGAAAUUUAAAACAAACAAAGUCAUAACAAACUUGAGCUAAUCUUCAGCAAAGACUAGUCUUCAAGGAUUGGAAUCUAGAAUGCCAACAACUGAACAGUUGCCUAUGCAGCCAUGCUUGACACUGGAAACUUUGUGCUGGCAAACCAAGAUUCUACCAACUUGUGGGAGAGUUUUGAUCAUCUGACAGACACACUAUUACCCACACAGAUGCUGAAUCAAGGCAGCAAACUUGUUGCUCGUUCCUCAGAUGUGAGUUACUCAAGUGGAAGAUUCAUGUUUGCAUUGCAAACUGAUGGAAAUCUCGUGAUGUACACCACAGAUUUUCCAAUGGGUUAUGAAGUGAACUUUCUUGGUUUUCACUCAAAAUACAGGUCCUGUAAGACCAACUGUGGCUCUGAUACCACUUGUUGGAGAAACUACAGGUAUGAAACUGGAAGUUAAUGAAGAAAAAGCUACAGAUAUGGUAGAGAGAAGCUGAUAAUUUUAUUCCAUUUGAGAUGAGAUAUUUAUACAAAAAAAUAACAAAUUCUUCCUAUCUUUCCUACAUAUUUAUUUAGGCUAUUACACCUGUUUUUGAAAUUUAAAACAAACAAAGUCAUAACAAACUUGAGCUAAUCUUCAGCAAAGACUAGUCUUCAAGGAUUGGAAUCUAGAAUGCCAACAACUGAACAGUUGCCUAUGCAGCCAUGCUUGACACUGGAAACUUUGUGCUGGCAAGCCAAGAUUCUACCAACUUGUGGGAGAGUUUUGAUCAUCUGACAGACACUAUUACCCACACAGAUGCUGAAUCAAGGCAGCAAACUUGUUGCUCGUUCCUCAGAUGUGAGUUACUCAAGUGGAAGAUUCAUGUUUGCAUUGCAAACUGAUGGAAAUCUCGUGAUGUACACCACAGAUUUUCCAAUGGGUUAUGAAGUGAACUUUCUUGGUUUUCACUCAAAAUACAAGUCCUGUAAGACCAACUGUGGCUCUGAUACCACUUGUUGGAGAAACUACAGGUAUGAAACUGGAAGUUAAUGAAGAAAAAGCUACAGAUAUGGUAGAGAGAAGCUGAUAAUUUUAUUCCAUUUGAGAUGAGAUAUUGAUACAAAAAAAUAACAAAUUCUUCCUAUCUUUCCUACAUAUUUAUUUAGGCUAUUACACCUGUUUUUGAAAUUUAAAACAAACAAAGUCAUAACAAACUUGAGCUAAUCUUCAGCGAAGACUAGUCUUCAAGGAUUGGAAUCUAGAAUGCCAACAACUGAACAGUUGCCUAUGCAGCCAUGCUUGACACUGGAAACUUUGUGCUGGCAAGCCAAGAUUCUACCAACUUGUGGGAGAGUUUUGAUCAUCUGACAGACACACUAUUACCCACACAGAUGCUGAAUCAAGGCAGCAAACUUGUUGCUCGUUCCUCAGAUGUGAGUUACUCAAGUGGAAGAUUCAUGUUUGCAUUGCAAACUGAUGGAAAUCUCGUGAUGUACACCACAGAUUUUCCAAUGGAUUCUGCAAAUUUUGCUUACUGGUCAACACAGGCUAUUGGCUCUGGCUUUCAAGUUAUCUUCAACCAGUCUGGCCACAUCUACGUCGUGGUGAGGAAAGAAAGCAUACUUAGCGAUGCUUUAUCGAAUGAAGUUUCAAUGAGAGACUUCUACCAGAGAGCAAUUCUUGAAUAUGACGGGGUUUUCAGGCAAUAUGUCUACCCAAAGACUGCUGGCUCAAGGUCUGGUAGGUGGCCUAUGGCCUGGUCCACUUUAUCUUCAUUUAUACCUGACAAUAUCUGCAGGAUAAUUAGGGCAGACACAGGAAGUGGAGCUUGUGGCUUCAACAGCUACUGCACACAAGAAGAUGAUAAGACACUGCACUGCCAGUGCCCUCCUGGUUACAGCUUCUUGGAUCAGAAAAAUGAAAUGAAAGGAUGCAAACAGGACUUUGUACCAGAGAGUUGCGAUGAAAAAUCACAAAAGAUGGGUCUGUUUCACCUUGAAGAGAUAACAAAUGUGGAUUGGCCAUUGUCAUAUUAUGAAUAUUUUCAACCAGUAACAGAGAAUUGGUGUGGAAAAGCUUGAUUGGAUGAUUGCUUUUGUGCGGUAGCUAUUUUUGGAGGAGGAAAAUGUUGGAAGAAGAAAAUCCCUCUAACAAAUGGAAGGUUUGAUCCUAGUAGUGGACGUAAAGCUCUUAUUAAAGUAAGGAAGGAAAAUUCUACUCUGCAACCCAGAAGUGAAGGUUUGAAGAAGAAAGAUCAGUCAACUCUGAUCCUUACUGGAUCAGUGCUGCUAGGUAGCUCUGUUUCCUGAACUUGCUUCUCCUCCUUGCAACUAUUAUAUUCAUCUUUCUCUUGAAUCACAGAAAAUCGAAGAUUCUUCAACCACACCCGGUCAUGGUGGGCAGAAAUCUACAAAUUUUCACAUACAACAAGCUAGAAGAAGCCACCAAUGGAUUCAAGGAUCAACUGGGGAGGGGGGCCUUUGGAACAGUUUACAAAGGUGUUCUAAACCAUGAGAAUGGAAAUUUCAAUGCAGUCAAAAAGUUGGACAAGAUGGUGAAAGAAGGAGAGCAAGAAUUUGAAACAGAAGUGAAAGCAAUUGGCCGGACAAAUCAUAAGAAUCUAGUCCAACUUCUGGGUUUCUGCAAUGAGGGGCAAAACCGGCUUCUAGUAUACAAGUUCAUGAGCAAUUGUUCUUUGGCAACCUUCCUAUUUGGAAAUUCAAGGCCAAAUUGGUAUAAAAGAAUACAGAUUGUCCUAGGAACUGCAAAAGGGCUCUUGUACUUGCAUGAAGAGUGCAGCACCCAGAUCAUACAAUGUGACAUCAAGCCUCAAAAUAUACUCCUAGAUAGCUUUUUAACAGCAAGGAUUUCAGAUUUUGGGUUAGCCAAGCUUUUGAAGACAGACCAGACUCAGACGAUGACUGCAAUCAGGGGAACCAACGGAUAUGUUGCCCCUGAGUGGUUCAAGACAGUGCCUAUCACAUUCAAGGUUGAUGUUUACAGCUUUGGAAUUGUGCAGCUAGAGCUCAUUUUCUGCAGGAAGAAUUUUGAACCAGAGUUGGAGGAUGAAUAUCGGAUGGUAUUGGCUGAAUGGGCAUAUGAUUGCUACCAUAAAGGAAAACUGGAUCUACUAUUGGAAAAUGAUCAGGAGACAUUGAAUAAGAUGGAGAAGCUGGAGAAGUUUGUGAUGAUAGCAAUCUGGUGCAUUCAGGAGGAUCCAUCUCGAAGACCUACCAUGAAGAAAGUCAUACAGAUGCUAGAAGGAGCCAUUCAAGUUCCUCUUCCUCCAGACCUUUCCUCGUCUAUCAGUUCAUUUUGAUCCCUUUCAUAUAGGUAUUCAAUGGUGUUUGAUACUGGUUUAUGUAUUUUAGCUUGUUUGUGCUUUACUUUGAAUCAUUAUGUACAUCAACCAUCAUCAUCUCUCAUAAAAUAUCUGAACAGAAAGCCAUGUAGUGUUAAUUUAGAAUGGCAUAAUUGUGGUUUGAAGACUUGGUAUUGGAAGGCAAUGACACCAUACCAGAUUCCCAACAAAUAUCAGUAUCCAACAGAGCCAAUAUAAAGGUCCAAACCCAUCUAGAAGCUCCAAAGCAUUUAGAAAAGAGAAAUUGAAAAGGAUGAGGACAACAUAACAAGAAUCAGCAACAAUUGAAUACAGAGUAAACUAAUGUUUUCCAGCUACAUCAACCAAGAUAUAAUAACUCAAUCUACAAUACAAAACUCCAAAUUUUGAAAGCUAACAUGGACCAUUUUAAAUACCUGUUCCAGAUUUUAACUCUAUGGGCUUCACUUAGUGAAAACAGAUCCUAGAGCUAGCCCUUCCCUUAGCAUAAAAUUCAUCUGAAAGAAAAAAUAUUGAUAGUCUUUUUCACAAUCUUCCAAAAAUAGAUCCUAAAUAAAUUUCUAGGAAUCCAAAUCCUAAGAUCAUUUGUACUGAUUGAUCAGGCAACAUAUACCAAAAUGCAAGCAUUCCCAGGAGAAGUACUAAUUUGAGAGGGUGUUUGAUAAAACUGAAAUUUUAUACCGGAUCAUACAUAGGAGUGUAUUUAGUGUUUAGCAACAGCAUAUCUUAACCUGAUGUUGUCUACAUCAAUUGGAUUAUCAUAUAUAUAUAUACUGUGUUUGAGCUGAGGAGGAUCUGAAUUUGUUGUUGGGAGCUCAAAGUUGACCUAAGGUUCAUAGACAAUGAAGGGAAGUCACUGGCCUGCUUUAUUACAUAAAACAGAUAGGGACUCAUUACCUGCAAUGAAAGCUACAAUUUUCCUAGAUAUAUGGAGAAGACUUAUGUUUUAUUGAGCAUUCAUCGUAUAUACCUUGAGUAGUUAAAUUUAGUUUGAUUUCUGCAAUUAAUGUUAAGUCUUUAGCUUUCCUUGUCUAAGAAAAUUAGCUCCUGGCCAUGGUUUCUGCACUGCCUUAUACCCUCCUCUUCAU
rnacentral:lncRNA from 1 species